rnacentral:lncRNA from 1 species
AACCAUCAAGUGUUUGUGCUCCGCAAACAAAGCUACCAUAGCUCGUACCGUAUACAUCAGAUUUAUGAUCUUGUGCAACUGAAGUAGAUUUGGCCCCUUGAAUCUUCCACCCUUUGUGCUGCUCACAUCUCACUCUUCCUUUAACAGGUUGCCUGGUGCAGAAUGUCCCACCCCCUAACUCCACCCCACAUAUGGUAUCAUAUUGCAAUUUGGCUUUAGAUUGUACCCUUCCUUGUCUAUACAUUUCGGGGAAAUUUAAAGUACCAGAAACAUUGGAAUCAACAUACGCAUCAUGCCCAUAUUGUGAUGAUCCUGUUGACUUGGAAUUUGAUCCACAAUUUUUUCUCCGAUUUUGCUCUUCGCCCUCACUAACAGAGCAUUUUUGGGCCACCAUUGGUUGCUUCGUAGGGUCAACGUCACACACUUUGGCUUUCCCUUUCAUUGUCAAUGUUGAUGCUCUGAUCCUCAUACCUCUGUGUUCAAUGCACCUCUUUCUUUGUUCAACAGGUGGCAUUUGACAAACAGAACCAUCACCUAAGGAAACCCCACAGAUACCUGUAUGGCCCUCAUCAGCACCGUAUCCAUCAAAAACAAGCCUAGGCUGUGAUUUGGUAAACUUAAUAAUUUGAGGCAAGAAAUUGUGACCCUGUAGGCUUGCAUUGAUUUUGAUGUCUGCUGGCUUUUGAUUGAAACGUAAGAGAUUCCUGAUAGUUUUCGGAAACUGAAUAUUGUUUGAAGCAACUUCAUCGAGUUUCCGGCGGACAUCAGCAUGGCGACGUUUGCCGUUGUUGCCUUUGUUCCACGCAUAAUCAAAUUUAUCGAGAAUCUUUCUUUCUGUUUUCUCAGCAUCUUCCUUGUUUUUCAUCUGUCAAACAUUGAGGUGGGAGCAUAAGAAGAAAACAAAUCAAAUUUCAGAAAUCGUAUGCCAAACUUUGCAAGCAGGCCCUACUUCAAUAAUGUAUAUCCGUGACUUAACCAGAACCACUCAAAUGCGAUGAGCUUAUACAUAAAUGCAAACGAUUGUUUCUCUAUUCAUUACAAUUGAAAUGCAAACGAAUCUGAAGAGAACUUAGUCGUGUUAUCCCCUUGGUCAGUUCGCAAGUCUUGAUCGUUCCAGAAUGUGAGGGAACUUUUUGAUUUAUGGUGCCUUGACUAAGCCCAGUUUCAGUUGGUAGUUAGUACCAGCGAAAGAAUAUGCAAUAUGAGAUAAUUCAGAAUGUAGCACUCAAGAUAGGAAUGGACACCAGUCACGCCACAAAAUCUAUUUGACAAUCUCCAUACAGACUUCAAGUAUCUCUCUACGUGAAUUUAUGCCUUGUCUAUCAACCAAACAUAUAGAACCAAAUAUAUUGAAGCAACUCAAAACUCACUUACAGGUGCCGAUCUGUACACAAUGGAAUAGCCUCUGCGGAAUAUAUCCUCAAAAUAUCGGCCCGAGUCACUGCCACUAUUCAAGUGAGCACCAGUACGGCCAUAGGCCUGGAGUCUUGCUCGGACACUCUCAGCUUGUCCAACGUAAACCACAAUUACCCCAGCGCCCGGUACAGCUAUUCCAAGCUCAUAGAGUCCAGGACCCGUGUCAUUCGGAAGGUUAUGAACCUUGUAUCUUUCCGCUCCUUCCUUCCCAUGUGAAUGAUUUUCCCAAUCUGACAGUCCAACAAGUUCCUGAAAUAAACUUACACAGAACAAGCACAAAAGUGAAAUCACUACACCAGUAACAAUAAUUUCUCUCACAAGAUUUUUAGUUUUCAAUGCUAGUAAGUAUUAACCUUCCAUUUAGAGAAUUGGGAGUCAUGAUUGGUUCGCUCGCAGUCUUCUCUUUGAAUCCUAGCUAUAAUGGCCAACAGAGCUGCUUCCAUUUUCUCAAUGAUCUGCCCAUGGCAAGGCAAGACUGUUGCAUAUUUAAUUUGCACCUUUUAACACUGAGGGUGACGCGACAUUUUAACGAAAGGACCAGAUUGCCCAUCAAUCAAAGCACUUGCUAUGUAACUGUUAAGUCUGUGACUGCCUUGUCGGACUCCACUUACCAAAUGGAAACUUGGUGACGAAGGAGUCAGAGAAUCUUCGUUAUCUUAUCUUUGUUGAAUCAUAGGCACUGGCUUUAAUUUAGUGAUUGUGAAAGAAAGAGAGUCCUUUACCGCUUCAUUCACUGCACAGUUGAAUUAUAGGCACUGCCUAAAGGAAAUAAAGGUCUUUUAAUCCGAAAAAACAAUUGUCACCUUGCUUUUUUUUUUUUUUUUUUUGUAUUUUUAAUUUUUCUACCAUUAUAUUACAAAUGUUCUCAACAACAGCCUCUACGGGAUUCUCAUCUCCUUUCACAAACACGUGGGAUAAGAGUAGAUUUCUCUUUAAUAUUAUUAAUUAGAAUAAAUUUCGAACUAAUCUCUACCACGUUUAAUGAAAUGUAAAAAUACACUGAUUACUAGAGUUGAAAAAUAAAAGCUAAAAACUAAGAAUAUAAAUUGAGAAAAUCAUAAAGUCAGAUAAUAUUGCAGCCAAUUUGUGUAUCAUAUAUUUCAGCUUAUUAUCUUAACUUAUUAUACCAUGAUAUUAAAAAUUCCAUGCCCUUUUGACAAGUAAUACCGAGUAUAAUGCACUUCUCUGUCCUAAUGCUAUGCGAACAGUUAUUGAUGCUUUUACUUUAGAAAAGUCAGUCCUUAUUUGUCCUAUUAGUGGCCCUUGAGCUUUUUUCUUUUAUUUUUUUUUUCUUUUGGGAUAAGGACCCUUGAGCUUAUCAUUUAAGGUACGAACAUAAAAUAAGAAUAACUUUAAAAUUUAAAAAAAAAAGAGGAAUAAUUUUUAAAUGGAUAGAGCCUUUUUUUUUUUUUAAGAGAAUCAUUGUUUAUGAUAUUUACACCAUAUAAAUUAUUGAGAUCUGUUUAUAUCAAUUAUGAUAUGGUAUCGCUUAGAUUUUUAACCCUCUUAAAUAUUCGAGGGACGUCCAACUCUUAUUUUGAGAGAAAGACUGCCUUUACUCAAGUUCUAGGACUUCAAGGAAGGACAUUUAAAUUAAACCCCCGCAAUGCGUUUGCGGGGGCUCGAACCACUUCCCUCACAAUUGUGAGGGAGUGGCUCUAUCCACUUGGGCUAAGCCCAAGUGGUUAAUGGAUAGAGCUAUUUGAAUCCACUAAAUUAUUAUGAAUUUUAUAUUACUAAAACGGCCAUGAGUGAGUUAAGGAAAAAAGAUUUGUCUAACUAAAAUAAUUACUGGUUAAAAAAAAGACUUAUCUUUUUUUUUUUUUGAUAAAAACCACCAAGGGGUGGGGAUUAGGUGAGACGCUUACCUAUAAUAUAAAUCAGUAAUGAAAUAAAUACAAAAAGAGGGAGAUAUAAAUUAAAAUCUCCUAAAAUAAAUGUAAAUAUACAAGAAUAAAGGAGAAGAAUAAAAUCAUCAAAAGAAAAAAAAAGUCAUUAAUGCAAGCAUAUGACAAUGACUUAUCUUCUUCAAUUAGCGGGAGAAUUUUCGUAAGAUUUUAAUAUAGUAAAAACAAAGAAUGCAAGAAAACUGAGCUUAUCACCACCAAUCUCCAUUUUUUAAUCCCACUAAUUUUCAUUUAUUAGUAGUUUAUUAAAUAAAUCAUCAAACCUUUUUAAAAUUUCUAUUAUAACAUUAAUAUUUUAACAAAAGAUUAUUAUGUCUUUUUUUUUUAUAAACCCUAAUAUGUAAGCAAUUGGAUAUUAUAUCACCACUAUAAUUAAAUUACCCCAUGAUUAUUGUAUGUUCUCUACAAUAUCAAAGUUUUGAUCCAAUAAGUUCAUAUUAUUUAUAUUUUACUUUUAUUUUUUAUUAUAAGAUCCAACAAGAUUUGCAUAUGAUUACAUAAAUUUUGUUUGAACUAAGAACAAUUUCACAUGAAAGUUAACCAUGAUUUUUAAAAUCAGUUUCACAACCAUGGCUUUUAACAUUCAAUCUAUUUAUAUUUUUUCUAUAGUCAUAGUGUUUAUUGCAACAAACUUAACAUAAAUGUAAUGGAUAUUACUUUUUUAUUUUAUUUGAAUUAUAUAUUAGUAUAAAUAUUGCAACCAAUUUGUGUAUCAUAUAUUUCAGCUUAUUAUCUUAACUUAUUACGCUAUGAUAUUAAAAGUUCCAUGCUCCUCUUGGCAAGUAAAACCGAAUACAACGCACAUAUCUGUCCUAAUGCUAUGCCAAUAAUUCUUGAUGCUUUUACUUUAUAAAGGACAGUCCUUGUUUGUCUUGUUUGGACCCUUUCUUUUUCCCCGGAUAAGGACCCCUAGCUAAAAUGAGAGUAACUUUAGCUUUAAAAAAAUAAGAGGAAUAAUAUUUUUUAAAUGGGUGGACCUAUUUGAAUCAACUAAAUUAUUGUAAAUUUUAUAUUAUUAAAAUGGCCAUGAGUGCGUUGACUUUUAAGGGAAAAAGAUUUGUCUAACUAAAACAAAUAAAAUUCACUUACCAGUAAAAAAAAAUUACUUAUCUUUUUAAAAAAAAAAAUAAAAAUCACUAAGAGAUGGAGGUUAGGCAAGACUCCUAUUUAUAAUAUAAAUCAAUAAUGAAGCAAAUACAUGAGAGAGAUAUGAACCAAGACCUUCUAAAGUAAAUGUAAAUAUAUAAGAAUAAAAAGAGAAUAAUAAAAUUAUUAAAAAAAAAAGCCAUCAAUGCUGGCGUCUGAAAAUGACUUAUCUUCUUCAAUUAGCGAGAGAAUUUUUUGUAAGAUUUUACCAUGGUAAAUGACACGACUCAAAAGUGUAUUACUUCCAAGUAUAAUAGUGUCUAGUUGUAAUUUAACCCGGUGAGUCCGAGGUCGAACCAUAGAGAAUUUUAAAUCUAGUAGUCAAUUUAAAACUAAGAAAAUUAAUUGUGGGGAAAAGAAAUUAUUUGAAAUCAAUUUAAAAAUAUGCUAAGGUCUCGAUCCACUCUUUGUAUUCAAACUAUAAUUUUAAUACUCUCUCAUUUAUAUUUUGUCUCACUUUUACCAGUUAAUUAUUAUAUCAUUUAAUUCUAUGUGUGUGGAUAAAUAUGGAAUAAAGUACCUAAUGUGCCAUACUAUAUUAAUAUGUCGACAUUAUGUCAAAAUACCAUACAGAUCCAAAGAAAUUUGUAAAUUAACAUGAUAUAAAAAUAAUUAGAAAAGAAUAAAAUAAACUUAAAAACUCAUUUGAGAAAAUAAUAAUAAUAAUUAAUAGUUUGAAACAUUGAGCUUCACCCUUCACCUCAACUUAAUAAAAUUAGCCACUCAUAUUAAAAGAAAACACAACACUCUUUUUAUUUGAUAAACUUUCUGAAAUAUAUUAUAAAAAAAAUUGAUACAGAUGAAAACAAGAAAAUAAAAGAAACAAAGAAAGAAAGAAAUUCUUCCGUCCCCUUUUGGCUACAACAAAAACUCGGCUUAAACUCCUUAAAGGCCACAUUACGUGACAAAUUGUCAAUUAGUCUUAGUAAGAAGCUUAUCUAUUGACACUCCAAGCGACAUCACAUUUCCGUACUGAAUAAAUGGCAUCAACGACUGACAUAUUAGUCACUAAAACAUAUGUUUUUGCCACUAAAUAAUACAAUCACCAUAUAUGGCUGAAACAUUUUUCAAACGAAUGAUUAUUUUUUUCUAUCAUCAUUAACUUUGUACGACUAAAUGGUUUAGUCAUCCAAUACGCUUUUAAGUGACAAAUUUAUAUUUAGUCACAGAUGGUAUACAUUUAUUAUGGGAAUUUGGUUUAGAGAUCAACAUAUUUAGUUGCAAUCGGGGUGCUUAAACAACUAAAACAAACAAUCACUGAAUAUAAUCAAAUCAAGUGUAGAAAAUGUGGUGACUAAUAUUGUUAGUUACAUAUUGGAAUAUAAUGGGAGACUAUUCUAAGAGUUAUUCACCUUAAGAUGAUAUUUAUUUAUUUGCUUUCCUUGUCUAAAUGACAUUAUCGCAAUAAAGAUUAUGGAGCGACUAUAGCUUACAGUCACCAAAUAAAAUUUAAAUAUGUUACAAAAGAAAAAAAAUAGUGUUUCUGUAUUGUUCGGUGGCUAAUUUUAGUCGUCACUAUAUCAAAGUAUUUUCAAUUAGGUUGAGAAAACAUAGUGCGACUAUUUUUCUUAGUCACAAUGUGAAAUAAAUUUGGUGACUAAUGUUAAAUUAGUUACUUAAGAAGAAGCAUAUUUUGGCGCCUCCUCUUUGCACCGUAAUUAUAUUUGGCACCCAUCUACAAAAAUAGAAGACGAAAAUUUUGAAUUAAUAUAAGAAUGGAGAUGGUAUACUUUCUAGUGCUUAAUACACUUUUUGGAGUUCAUUUCUUGUUCCUUUUAUAUUAGUUUUGUUAUCUUAUUUAUUUUGUCUGGACUCUUUAUCAUGGAAUUAUUGAUAUUUUGAUACGUGUUUGUAACAAAAUAUUUUAAUUUAGUUAAUUUGGGUUUAUAGAGCCAAUUCUGAAGAAGAAUGUUCAUGGAAAAUCCAGGGAGUUGGUUGUGAAUGCAGUUUACAUUUGUCUAAAAACAAGUUGAAUGUGGACUUUGAAGUUGAGGAUAGAAGACCCACUGGCACUUAUUCAUCUAGGUUAUCCACUGAAAUAGUCAUUGUUGUGAGGACUUUUGCACCGUUAAAAGUUGAUCAAUUGAGACAAGUACCUCUUGAGAAAAAGAAGGAGAUGUUUGCUCGAGUGGAGGUAAAUCUCUUCUAACUUUUAAACUCAGUAAAAAAAUUAUUUUAGUAGCUGAUUUAUUAUUUUAAUUCCUUAUGAUGAUCAUAGAUCAAAUUUGACAUCGAGACCAACUAACCACAUGUUAUAAGAUUCCUUAAUGGUGCAAUGGCACGUAGAUUCAAAGGUUUCAAGUACUUCUUGAAGAAAAAUUUCACGGAAUAUUCUAAUUUAGCCGAAGCACUACAAAAUCGCCCUGAAGAAGUUUUUAAUUAAGAAGAUUGGGAUUACCCUUGUACAUGCUUUGACAAUGAUCCAUUCAAGGUUAAAAGAAAAAUAUGUCAUAUAUUUCAUAAUUUUUGGUAAUUUCUAAUAUAUGUUUUCUAUUCUACUUGUAGCAACGAUCCAAAAUUUAUGUUGAAAAUCACAAGAAACUAAAAUAUGGCCAUCAAGGUGGAUCCAAGCCUUUUGUACAACAUCAAAAGGAAAUUGUAUAGGAAAUAUUUUAUAAAUUUUAUUUUCAAAUGAUUUAUAAUUGAAUUUAAUAAUUUCUUUUGAUAUUGUAUAUUAUAGGCUAAAAGACUUGGACACACUCUAGGACCAAUUUCUUUGUUUCAUGACACCCAUUGGAGUGCAAGUAAAGAUUGGAGCAAUGAUGAAGCUAGAGAAAGAUAUGUAAGUUUAUUCGUUGCACUUAUCCAGCAUAGAUUAAUAAAUAAUCUCAAUUUAGAUGUGAUUUCUAUAUUUAAUCACUUCAUGAAAAAUUUAUGUCAGCUUCUUGUUGAAGAAAUGAAUUAAAAUUUUUUUAUUGUUAAUCUUCUUUGAGCAAUUUGGGAUUAUUUUAUAUGUCUUUGCUUAAUGUAUUGGGUUUUUCUUAUUAUAUCAAUGCUUGGAAUUGUUGUUUAUAAUGUUGGAAAAAAAAUGAUGGAUUUAGGUUAGCAAAAAAUGAUGGAUUUUGGUUAGCCAAUGAAUACAGUGAUUUAAAUAUAGCUAUAGUAGCUAUAAUUACAAGAAAUAUUUAUAUGUAUUAGAGUAUUUCGGAGCUGAAAGAUCAAUCCUUUGUUGACCCACGCCUAUUAUUCCAAUGCUUGGUAUUAUAUUAAUGUGGUUAAAAUUUUUCAUUUUAUUUUCUAUAUUGGUGAAAGAAAAUGAUGAAGGUUGGCCAGUGAAUGGGGAUUUGUAUAUACCUACAACACCUAUAAUUAUAAUAAAUGUAUAAUUUGCAGGAGAAAAUGUUAGAGCUGAAAGAACAGUCAUUGGCUAAAGGAUCUGAAUCAAGAUCCUAGGUAGAAAUUUGUGAAGAAGUUCUUGGUAGGAGUUCAGGAUAUGUUAAAUGGCUUGGAUUUGGUCCACUUCCUCAGACACAUGCUUCGUUCAAACGAACUACUACUGAGGUGCAACAGAGGCUUGAACCUCAAAAUGAAGAGAUCGAGAGUCAGAGCACACAACUUCAAAGUCAAAAUGAAAAAAAUCCUUAGAGUGAAGAAAUUAAACGACUGCAAUAACAAAAUAUGCAAAUCAUAGAGAUUUUAAAGAAGCUGCCACUAGCUGGUGUGAACUUUUCAUCCCUUUUCUAUUCCAACUCUAUUCCAACUCUAUGAGUGUUUGUUAUGUUUUUGUUAACAUGUAUAUGUUUAUAGUAUUGUUUUUUAUUACAAUGUUAGAGUUUCCAUUGAUAAACAAUUUCUUAAAAGUCAUAUAUUAUUUCUAAAUAUGUUCAUGAAAUAUGAAUAAUUGUUAACUUUAAUCAGAAAAUCAUUCCCUGCGAAAUUUUGUUAAACUUGUGAUUCUGGAAAUAAAUAGUGAACCAUUAGCUUUGAAACGGUUAACCAAUAAUUUCCAAAGAGGAAUAAAUCUUUAAGCUUGAACUGGUUAGCAAAAUCGGAUAAGGCUAGUGUGUUUUGCAGGUUGUUGGAAGUAAACGGUGAACCGUUUAUAUCAAACGGUUAACCGAUAAUUUUCAGAAUGAAAUUUUAUGCUAACCUUGAACCGUUUAACAAAAACGAAUAAACUUAUUUUGUUUUACAGGUUACUGGAAAUAAUCGGCGAACUGUUAACUUUAAACGGCUAACCAAUAAUUUCCAUAAUGUCAUUACAUGUUAAUCUUGAACCAUUUAGCAAGAAUGGAUAGCUGAAAUUUGUUUUGUGGGUUUCUGAAAAUUAACAGCGAACCAAUAGUGGCAAACGGUCAACCAGUUAUUUAAAUUUUAGCUCAACCGUCACUUGUACCAGUCAAAACGGUUAAUCGAUAACUAUUAACGGUGAUAUGAUUUUGGACAGAAAGUCAAUAACGGCUAUUUUUCAACUCCAAAUAUAAAUAAACUCAAUCAAAUUCAAAUAAGGGUUGAUCACAACGUUAUCAAAUAGCUUGUAAUCGAGAAUACAACAUUCACUGAGCUUUAAAUUCGUUCUUAUUUCAUUUAUUCACACAUUGAGUAUAGUUUGUAAUCAUAUAUUUUGUAUGAGAGAAAAAAACAUUUUUGAGUGAUUGUAAGUGUUGUGAUACACUUGAGUAAAGAGAUUGGGGAUAAUAUUUUCGUGUAAAGGUUGAUUGACACAUGUGAAGUCAAUUGUAAGUGUUCUUAAAGUUUUGAAGGCUUGACUGGUGGAAUCCUGAAGUUCGGUGAGCUUGGAGGUGUGGAUGUAAGCAAAGUUGGCCGAACCACCUAAAAAUAUAUGUGUUUGAAACUCUCUUCCCUUAUCUUUUACAUUUUAGUUGAUUUAUUUAUUAUUGUUUUAAAUUCGUUUAAGAUUUGGAUUAAGUUUUGUUCAAGCAUUGCAUAAUUUUUAAAAACUCAAUUCACCUCCAUCUUGGGUUGCUGAGAUAGUAUUUCAUUUGGUAUUAGAGAGAGGUUCUCUUGUUAGGACUUAACCGUCUAAAGUAAAUGAUCUAUGACAACCCAAAAUAACUCUACCUUUAGAGAAAGACAAUUCAUAACUAGGUCACCAUUCUUUAAUGGUAAUGACUACUCAUAUUGGAAAAUUAGGAUGAGAAUUUAUUUACAAGUCUUAGAUUACGAAAUUUGGGAAGUUGUUUGUAAUAGUCCAUUCAUGUCUAUGACUAAAAAUGAAGUAGGAGAUGAUAUUCAAAAACCUUCAAGUCAAUGGAGUGAGCUAGAAAAGAAAAAGAUGUCUUUAAACUCAAGGCAAUGAAUGCUUUGUUUUGUGCUCUUAAUAAGAAAGAAUUGCAUAGAGUAUCUAGCUGUGAGAGUGCUCAAGAAAUAUGGAAUAAAAUUGAGGUUGUCUAUGAAGGGACAAAUCAAGUUACAGUGUUUAAAAUCAGUAGAUACGCUCAUCAAUAUGAAUUGUUCUAAAUGGAACAAAAUAAAAGUUUGUAUUCUAUGUAUACACGAUUUACAGACAUAGUCAACACCCUAGGUGUCAUGGAAAAACUUUUUCGAAUAGCGAGAAAGUCAAGAAAAUCAUUAGGUCGCUUCCAAAAUAAUAAAGACCUAAAACGUCUGCCAUUGAAGAAGUAAAAAAUUUUAAUACUUUACAUAUUGAUGAUUUAAUUGGCUCUCGAAUUUCGUAUGAAGAAGACUUGGCAGCAUAAAAAGGGCAUGAGGAGAAGAAGAAAAGUAUUGCUCUUAAAGCUUCAAAACAUGAGAGUGAUGACAAAGUGAUCUGGAUGAUGAGAAGAUGGCUAUGCUAACUAGAAGAUUCAUAAAAUUCGACAAGAAAACUAGUAAGUGGAGCACGUUCAGAAACUUCAAGAAUCAAAAGGAGAAGAAGGUGUCAAUCACUUGUUAUAAAUGCAAAAAGCCUGAACACAUACGGUCGGAAUGUCCUCUUCUCAACAAGCUAAAAAAGAAAGCAAUGGUAGCCACAUGGGAUGACAGCGAUGAGGAAACGAGUGACGAUGAAGAGCAUUAAGAAAUGACAAAUCUAGCUCUCAUGGCAAUUGGGGAAGAAUCAUUUGAUGAACUUGAUGAUAUAAGUGAUCUUCCAACAUAUGGUGAGUUACAUAAUAUUUUUAAAGAACUGCAUGAUGAGUGGAUAAAAAUUAGUAAAAAAAAUGCAUGCCUUAAAAAGAAAAUACUAGAACUUACAAAUGAAAAUGAUGCCUUGGAAAAAUGCAAUAAUUAUUUGAAUGAGAAGAUAAAAGAAUUAAAAUUAGAGAAUAAAAUAUUGCAUGAUAAGAUUGCAUCUUUUAAAGGUAAACAGAGUACUUCAUAUAAGCAUGAAAAAUCACAUGUAGAUGAAUUGGUAAAAUAGAAUGAAGUGCUUAAGAAGAAUAAUAAUGAGAUAAAUGAAAUUGUGUUAAAAUUCAAAAAUGAGUAAAAGAUGUUGGAUAACUUACUUAAUUCACAAAAAUGUGUGUUUAACAAAGGAGGUAUUGGCUUAUAAGCCAAAUUUGAAAUAAAAGUAUUAUAAGAAUUACUUUAUAAAGAGUACCUCCAUUAACAAUCAUAUUGUAUGUUAUUAUUGUAAUUAAGAUGGUCACAUGAAAAAUAGAUGUUCAGUGAAAAGAAAUGUAUAUUAUGGUGUGAAAUAUGUUUAGGUUCCAAAAAGGAACUAUUGCUAACACUCAAGGACCCAAGAAGUUUUGGGUACCUAAAACUUAGAAACUUUUUCUGCAGGGAUCAAAGAAAAGAAAAAAUAAGUGGUAUUUGGACAGUGGAUGUUCAAGACAAAUGAUAGGGAAUUACUUUUGGUUUUCAAGUUUUACCAAGAUCGAGACGGUGGAAACGUUUCCUUUGGAGAUAAUUCAAAAGGAAAGAUCAUUGGUACUGGCAAUGUCAGUAAUGUAUCUUUUACUCUUAUUGAAAAGGUAUACUUGGUUGAAAACUUGAAACACAAUUUACUUAGCAUUAGUCAAUUGUGUGAUAAGGGUUAUAAAGUUGUUUUUGAUAAGACUAGAUGUGUUAUUAAGAAUGUUUCUUCUCAUCCUAAAGAUUUAAUUUUAGGAGAUCUUUCACGAGGUGUAACAACUAGAUUAUCAUUUAGAAAUACUUGUGAACAUGCUGCAUUCAUAUCUUAAAUUGAACCAAAAUUCUUUGUGGAUGCGGAAAAUGAUAAAUCUUAGAUUAUGGCAAUACAAGAGGAGUUUAAUCAAUUUGAGAGAAAUAAUGUGUGAGAAUUAGUUCCUAAACCGGAAUAUCAAUCCAUUAUAGGUACUAAAUAGGUAUUUAAAAACAAAAUAAAUGAAUCUGGUGUGGUUAUAAGGAAUAAAACUAGAUUAGUAGCUGAAUGUUACAACUUCGAAGAGAGAAUUAAUUUUGAUGAAACAUUUGCACCAAGAGCUAGACUAAAAUCAAUUAGGAUACUCUUAGCAUUUGCAUGUCAUAAAAAAAUUUCAUUUUAUUUCAAAUGAAUGUAAAAAGUGCUUUCUUAAAUGGUUAUAUUGUGGAAGAAGUGUUUGUAAAACAAUCCCUUGGUUUUGAAAAUGAAAAAUUUUCAGAUCACGUUUAUAAGUUGCCAAAAGUAUUGUAUGGAUUAAAACAAGCACCUAGAGCAUAGUAUGAUAGGCUUAAAAAUUUCUUAUUAGAUAAUGGUUUUUCGAUGAGUAAAACGGAUACUACUCUUUUUGUUAAGCACAAUAACCAAUAUAUACUUGUUGUUCAAAUUUAUAUUGAUGAUAUUAUCUUUGGUUCUACUAAAGAAUUGUUGUGUAAAAAAAUUUCAUCUUAUAUGAGUAAAUAAUUUGAGAUGAGUAUGAUGGGAGAGUUGAAGUACUUCCUUGGGCUACAAAUAAAAUAAAAUGAGGAAUGGAUUUUCAUAAAUCAACCCAAAUAUGUGAAUGAACUACUCAAGAGAUUUGGCAUUGAUGACUCAAAGAAUAAGAGCACUCCAAUGAGCACAAUAACCAAGCUUGACAAAGAUUAAAAAGGCAAAGAAGUUGAUAUCAAAGUGUACCGAGGUGUGAUAAGUUCUUUACUUUACUUAACAACAAGUGGACCUGAUAUCAUGUUUAGUGUACGUUUGUGUGCAAGAUUUCAAUCAUGUCUCAAGGAAUUUCAUUUACUUACUGUGAAAAGAAUUUUCUAUUAUUUGAGUGGAAUCAUAGAUCUUGGCUUUUGGUAUCCUAGAGGAACUCAUAUAGAUUUAACUUGUUAUUCGGAUGCUGAUUUUGCCGGUUACAAAGUCGAUAGGAAAAGUACUAGUAAAACUUGCCAUUUACUAGGUCAUUCACUUGUUUCAUGGUUUAGUAAGAAACAAAAUUCGGUUGCACUCUCAACCACCGAGGCUGAAUACAUUGCCUCAGGUAAUUGAUGUGUAUAAGCUCUUUGGAUGAAACAAGAUAUUAACCUUGAACAAAUUCCUAUCAAGUGUGAUAAUACUAGUGCUAUAAAUCUAUCAAAGAAUCCCAUUUAGCACUCUAAAACCAAGUAUAUAGAAACUAGACAUCAUUUCUUGAAAGAUCAUGUUUAAAAAGGAGAUAUUGCAUUCAUAUUUAUUUUUAAAAUGUUGAACUUUUUAUUAUGUUAUUAAAUCUUGGAGAUUUAUCGAUUUUUGAUUUACUAUAUAAUUUAGUUCUUGUCAUUAUUGACUAAACUAAAUGGUCUCUAUAUAUUUAUUUUGGUGUUUGAUUAAGUGCUCAAGCAAUUGUGCAACAUUAUGUGACUACAAAUAAUUAGUGAUUUUAUGUUGGUUGAUGCUCUUUUAAUUACAUUUUGAACAACGAUGCCUCAUUUCAGUGACCAAUACAAUUGGUCUCAAUUUAAAUAACCACAUAAGUAUUUUUAUGCACUAAACAUAUAGUUAUUAAAUAAUAUCAUUAGCGACUAAGAUAAUUAGUCACUGAAAAAAAUAUUUGUCGACCAAGAGAAACAACCACCCAUAUAUAUAUUCAUCGACUGUGAACGUUAGACACUGAAAAAUAUAUUUGUUGACCACAUCAAUUAGCUACAUAAGAACAUGAUUUUCAACUAUAUAAAAUAGUCAUACAAACAAUUCAUUCGUGAUUAGAACUAAUGGCUAUGAAAUAAUACCUUUGGUGGCCAAUUUAUGCCAUUCCAGAAGACCAAAGCGGAAUAAUUUCAUCGACUUGAAUGACUAUUGCAAUAGUCGUAAAAAACUACUUUUUGGUAACUUUUAUAAUUAGUCACAUAUUCAAAGGUUCUAUGGUAACUUCGCAUCCUUCUAAUCAACCAAAGGUGACUCGUUUAAUGAUCAUCUAUGACUAAUAUAAUAGUCAUCUAAAAGUAUAUUGAGUGACUAAAGUAGUUUAGUCGUAAAAGCUUUCCUCAACCGACAUUUCGUGUCUAUUGUGCGACUAAAAAUAAACAGUUGCAAAACCAUUUUGCAACUGUUUGGAUAAGUUUUAGAGACUAAAUUUAUAGUCAUCAAAACACAAUUUCCUUAUAGUGUUGUUUCAAUUGUCUAUGUUUUAAAAAUUGUCUAGACCAUGGAAAAUUUAGUUCUUGCAAAAACAAAAUUGAAGAAGUUUAUACAUGAUUUCGGUGGGUUUUUAACAUAUUGAAAGAUACAAGAUUGAGGGUACUUUCGGUAUUAUUGGAGGUGUAAAAAGUGAAAUUUUAAUUUUGAAAUUUAGAAAAUAGGUUUUUUGAGUAAUAGGUUGUAGAAAUUUUUUUUUUUUAGUUCAGAUAGCUCCAUUCUUUAAAAAAGUUAAUUUAUGAAAGACUAAUUUAAAUUUUUUACUAUUUUUAACUAAUGUUAAUCCUAAUAGGAUUUAAUGUAUUUGUUUUAGUUAUUUUUUCAAUUCCGUUCGAACAUUGAAUUUAUUCACAUCGAGUGAUUUCAUCAACAUGCAUACCUACUAGAUUUGAUAUAAUAUGGAGAAAAUGUUGUGGACUUGAGUAAUGUUUGGCAUACAUACAUAGCAUCCACAUAUUCUAAUUAGCCCCAAAGGGCUAUUUUGUCGUUUACCACAUCCACCUUUCUUGACCAUUGAGGUUCCAAGAAGAUCUUGCAACUUUAUUAAAAUGACAAGAGUUAUGCUAUUGACAUUCCUUUAAUUUAUGUCCUGUUCAGGAUUGAGGUUAAAAUUGAAUAAGUUAUUUUUUUCAUAAUUUUUGAUAAAAAUAGUGUUUGGUUAAUUUUGUAAAAUCUGUUUAUUUCAUAAUUUUCUUUUCAUUUUGACAACAGCUUUUAAAAGCAGAUAAGAAGUUGUUUUUCAUAAGCAGCUUAUUAAAUAAAUUACCACACUUUUUUAAAAUUCCUAUUAUAACAUUAAUAUUUUAACAAAAGAUUAUUAUGUCAUUUUUUCAUAAACCCUAAUAUAUAAGCAAUUUGAUAUCAUAUCACCACUAUGAUCAAAUUGCCCCACAAUUACUGUAUGUUCUCUACAAUAACAAAAUUUUGAUCCAAUAAGUUCAUAUUACGUAUAUUUUACUUAAAUUUUUUAAUUUUAAGAUCCAAUAAGACUUGCAUAUGAUUAUAUAAAUUUUGUUUGAACUAAGAACAAUUUCACAUGAAAGUUAACCAUGAUUUUUAAAAUCAGUUUCAUAACCAUGGCUUUUAACGUUCAAUUUAUUUAUAUUUUUUUAUAUAGUCAUGGUGUUUAUUGCAACAAGCUUAAUGUAAAUGUAACACAUAUUACUUCUUUAUUUUAUUUGGAUUAUGCAUUAGUAUAAAUUUUUUAUCAUAUUUUAUGUAACAGAUAAUGAAGUAUGUUAUAUUUUAUUUAAUUGAGUUUUUUUUCACUUCAUGUAAUUUUAUGUGUUUUAAAAACUAAAAGGUGUGUCCAAAAAUUAUUAAAUAUACUUUAAAAAUUAAUGAAAAUUUAAAUUUAUAUAUAUUGGUCAUUAUAUAAUAAAACAACACUUUUGUCAUAAAAUUUACCAAAUAUAUGUACAUUGCUUUUUAAACUCACAGCAACAGCAAAAAUACAGUUUAGUAACAAUAAACACUAAGCUGCUUUUUUAAUCAGCAGCCUAUUUCAUCUGUAAAACACAAGUAGCUUAUUCAUCAGCUACUGCAAUUCCAAACUAGCAGUUUAUAUAAUAAUAUCCUUAUAAAACACCAUUUUUGUAAUCAUAACUUUAUUGUUAGAGAGAAUUACAUAUAAGGACAAACAAGAAUUUGUCUUUAGAAAAAUAAUUUCCUUUAAAUGGAAUGAGAUAGUUAAUUACUUUGUGAUGGUCUCAAAAGUCAUAAACUUUGUUUUUCACAUUGAUCCUAUGUAACAAUAUCAAAAUAUCAAGGCAAGGAACAAUACAUCAACUACAGGUACAUAAUAUCUAAAUUUGUUAUGAUAUUUAUUAUAUAAAUUUCCUUGAAAAAAUAUUUUAUUUCUAAUAGUUUUGUAUUCUGCAUUCAUUUUGUAUCCUUUUGUAUGUACACUUAAUUUACUAUGUUUACAAAAUUCAUUUAUAUCUAUGUCUACAUUAGGCAUACAGCUUACUACUGCUAUUUUAUUUUUUAAAUAUACUUCUGCACUGACUAUUUGAGCUUGCUCAUGGUCAUAAAAUUUACUAUCAUAUAAAUAUAAAUGUGCUUUAGUAUCCAAAUGUUUUUUUGCUUGACUAAAAUUACUAUUACUAUUAUUCGCAUAUGUAUAUCUAUAUAAUUGUUUUCUAAUAUAAUCUCUACCUACUGGGCUGGUUAAUAUUAAUUCUUCCCUUCUAUUUACUACUGAUGGUUUAGUUUCAUAUGUGUAGAUAUAUAAAUUGUUAUUCAUUUUUAUAUUAAUCCUCCAUUAUAUAAUAUUUUCUUUCUAAUUUGUUCAAAGACUCUUUCUAAUAAUUUAUUUGGGUCUUGUUCAUCUAUUAUAUCUUCAGUUCUUUAUAUAAUUUCUUUUCUUCUACUAGAAAAUGAUAGUGAUCUUCUAAUUCUUUCUGCUAUAGUAACAUCAAUACUGGUAUUUCUUACUAAGUCUAUACUUUUUAUGUUACUUUUAGUCCUAAAAUAUCUUUUAUAUCUACUUUUCUAAAUACUAAACUUGGUCCAUUCAAAUUUUAUUUUUCAACUCUAUUUGUUAAUAUGUCUAAUUCCUUAUCUAAAUUAUCUAAUGAGUUACUAAACUCUAAAUGUGGUAUACUGUUUCUUUACUUUUUCUAAGGGUUUAAAGCUACUUUCUAAUUUAAUGAGUCUAUCUUCUGAGUUUUCUUAUUUAUUACUAACUUUGACUAAUAAUUUAAUAAUAAUGUUUGCUUGAGCUUGUUGUAUAUUAUUACUUUCUUGGCUACAUUCUUUAAAGUUAUAACCUACUGAAGCAAUAUUUGGAGGUUCUCCUUUUAACUCUGCUAAAGAUUCUAUUACUUGCUUUUCUAAACUCAUUCACUUACUAUUAAUUUUAUUGAGUCUAACUGAAUUUAUAAGUCUCUCUAUGUAAAUUUAAUAUUUUAUAUUUCAACUUUUAAAGUUUCUACAAGACUUUAAAUUUCUAAUUCUAUUGGUUUAGGUGUUUCCAUGUCUAAUAAUUGGACUAAUUCUACAAUUUCUUUCUUGUUAGGGAAUCUUUUAAUCCGGCUAUUGAAAUCAGCUAAUAAUUCUUUAAUAUAACAUAAGAUUCUUCUUAAUGUAUUAAUAUUACUAGUUUCAAAGAAUUUUCUAAUCCUACUGCUAGCUCUUUUAGCUUUUGUAAAUUGGUUUCUAAGUGUUGUCUUAAAUUAGUUAAUAAAUCAACUAUGAAGUUUUGUUGAAUAUUGCUAGUGUGUGGAAUAUGUUAUAAAUUGAUUUUCUAAAUGUUCUAUAUUACAACUAAUUUUAAUUUUUUCUGUCAAAUUUAAUUUUGUUUUUCUGUGAUUACUAAUUUCUAAAUCUAAAUAAUCUAAUCUCUGAAAAUUCAUAACUAAUUUUGUAAAUCUUUUAGUCUAUUCUAAUUCUUAAAGCUAUGUUCUCAUACUUUUCUAAUAAUUUUAUCUCUCUAAUGUAUAUACCAUCAAUAAUAGAUAAUUUAGAAAGAGUGUAAUGCUAAUACUUAUAUUUCUUUCUAUUUUAAGAGUUAAAGGAGAUGUAUAAUCUACUGGAAGCUUUAUAUUUUCUAAUCUUUUUUAGUUUCUACAAUAUUUAAAGCACGUUCUAAUAUUUCUAUAUAAGGGUUGUUUUGUAUUCAAGCAUCAGAAAUAGCACAAUUCGACAUAGAAGUCCAACAUUUAUAGUAAAUAACCAUAGUGAACAAAAAUGAUGUAAGAGUAGAAUGGUAAUUAAUUAUAAAAGAUUAAACGAUAAUACUUUGAACAAUAGUUAUAAAAUACCUAAUAAAGAUGAAUUAGUAAAAUGGUUUUAAUAUUUUCUAAAUUUGAUUGUAAAAGUGGAUUUUGACAAUUACGACUCCACGAAGAAUCUAUUCAAUGAACAACUUUUAGUUGUUAAGAAAGAAACUUCGAAUGAUUAGUAAUGCCAUUUGGAUUAAAAAAUGGACCACAAGUUUUUCAAGCUAUAAUUGAUAAAAUAUUAAAACCAAUUUCAAAAUUUUGUAUAGUUUAUAUAACUAAUAUUCUUGUUUUUAGUUAUAAAAGAUUUAUGUAUAUAAUUCAUUUACAUAAAAUUUUACAUUGUUUUAAGAAUAAUAUUAUAAUUCCUAAGAAAAAGAUUGAAUUAUUAAAAUAAAAAUAAAUUUUUUAAGACUAAUAAUAGACAAAAGAAAUAUAGAAUUACAACCACACAUAUUAGAAAGAUAUUAGAAUUCCCAUAUAGAAUAGAAGAUACUAAAGAAUUAUAAAAAUUUUUAGGACUAAACUAUUAAACUAUAAUACAAAGUUUAUACCAAAUCUUUGUACAUAAUAAAACUCUCGUAUAAUAAGUUAAGUAAAAAUGAACAUAAAUAUUUAAUAGUGAAAACAUAAAAUUAAUACAAAAACUUAAACGAGUAGUUAGAAAUCUUAAAUCAUUAGCAUUACCCAUAAACAAUUACUAUAAAAUUAUACAAACUGAUGUAAGUAGUUUAGGAUGGGUAGGAAUAUUAAUAUAAAAGCCUUAUAAAGGUAGUUCAAAAGAGGAAGAAGAAAUAACAAUAUAUACUAGUGAAAAUUUUAAAGAAAUAGAAAGUAGAAAGUCUAGCACAAAAUUAAAAAUUUUAGGAAUAAUAAAUUCUUUAAACUCAUUUCAUUUGUAUUUACAAAAUAAUACAUUUACAAUAAGAACACAUUGUAAUAAUAUCAUAGAAUUUUAUAAAAGAGUAUAAAAGAAAAAUUUUGAGAAGAAAAAAUCUUUUAUUAAUAGAAGAUGUAUAUAUUUUUUAGAAGUAAUGACAAGUAGAAGAUAUAAAGCAAACUUCAAACACAUAGUAGGUAAAGAUAAUAUUUUAGUAAAGAUAGUAUUUUAACUAAUAUUCUUUCAAGACUAAUUACUCAAUGAUUAUUUUGUAGGAAUUGAGCGAUAUAUGAAUUUCGAUCCAGUAACAUUUAGACAGUUCCCUUCAGCAACAAAUUUAAGUCUUAGAAGUAAAUUUCAAUUAUUAGAUAGUCAGUAAUGCAUCUUAGACACUUUGUAGAGUUGUAGUAACCCACUAGAUAAAUUAAAAGUAGUUAAUGCAUUCAUGCGUUAUUUUAGACAUAUUAAUGAUCAUGAAGAAAGUAAUCAUUUUGUAUUUUUUAUCUUAGUUAAAGAUAGACAACAUGCAUUUAUAACCAAUGGAGAGAGGUAUUUGAUCUAAUAAUCAAUUAUCUUUAUCUGUAUUAUAGAGGAUUUUUAUACAUUUCAUGAAGCAAUUGAAUUUGCUAGACAAAAGAUAGAACCAAAUUUCAAGUUAGCCAUUUAAUUAACCUUUUAAAUAGUGCAUCAACAUCAUUAGCCAAACAAUUAAAUAAUUCUCUAGACAGUGCAUCAGCAUAAUCAUCAUCAACCAUACAGUUAUGCAACCACUGUGAAGUCAUGACACGGACAAUUAGAAAGCUUGAUGCUACUUGACAUGACUCAAAAGUGUUUAAUUUACUCCCAAGUAUAAGAGUGUCUAGUUAUACUAUAGCUUGGUAAGUCCGAGAUCGAUCCACAGAGAAAAUAUUUAAUUUUUUUAUUUAAUUUUAUCUAAAAAAUGAAAAUAAAAUUUAAAUAUAUGCAAUUUAAUUUGAGAAAAACUAUAAAAUUAAAUUAGUUAGGGUUAUGAUCCACUCUUAGUAACAAAUACAAUUUAAUAAAAAAUUUAUUUUUAGUUUAUUACCCAAAUGAUUAGUUGUAUAAAUUAUAAUUAUUUUCUCAAUGAUUUUAUUAUGGAUUAAGUACUUAGUAUGCCAAAAUUUAAUUUGUUUACAAUAAGUCAAAAUACCAUUUUAUCAUACUUUAUACUAAGAUAUUAAGAAUUCAUUGUUCCAAACCCCAUGUUUGUCUACAAUAAAUCAAAAUUUCAUAAUAUAAAAUAUGGAUAAAAUUAGAUGGAAAAUAAUUUAAUUUAUAUAAUUAAAAAUAAAAUUUGUUUAAAUCAUUUUUUUUUACUAAGAGUUUCACAUUCCCGUAACUAUUAGUAUUUAGCUAAACAUAUUUGAAAUAAAGGGAAUUAUUAAAAAGGAAAAAGAACAUAAUUAAAAAAAGUAUUUGAAAUUUGAAAAUCAAACUAAUUUUAUUUAUUGAAAAUAUAUUACAAAGAGAGAUGAGAAGAAGUAUUUGAGGAGAAAGAAGAGAAGGAAAGGUGUCGAGAGGUGUGUUCUCCCCUCUCUAUUUAUACUAAUACAUGAUUAAUCCACACCACAUAAAUAAAUAAAGCUAAUUACAUCUUAGCCAUACAUUUGUCUCACUAACAAAACAUAAACUUAACUUAAUUCACUCAAGCACAUCCAACACAUUCUACUAACAAUUACAAUAUCUAACAUAGUAAAAACUUAUAAUUUCACAAUUACCACAUUUACCGUCGUAAAAACUUAUAAAUUUACAACAAAAGUGACGGAUCCCUUUCGAUAAUGACCUAAUUUCUUGGAUUUCCGGAAUCUAAAUUUGACAUUUAUGCAUUUGUUUGGAACCUCUAAUUGCAUGAAUUAGUAUUUUUACCUAAUAAACACACAAAAAUACACAAAAUCAAAUAUUUAGAAAAAUAAUUAGAAAUUCAUAAUAUGUUACAUAAUUACAAAUGUAAAUUAUAUUAUAAGCACAAAAUAACACUUUUACCCCUUAAUAAACAUACAAUUUUUAACACUAAUCACACCUCCCAACCAGCUUAUUGCUAGCCCCUAGCAAUUAAAGCUUUAUAUUAAAUUAAGAUUUACAAAAUUCACAUGCAACUUAAUAGUUGUUUAUCUAUCCCCUGAACUACCAAAUAAAUAAACUCUCCCAAAUUUUUCUAACUCUUUGUCGAUUAAUUAUUAUCCAUAAUAUCAUAAACUUUCUUUUGUGCUUAAAUAAUUAACACAAUACUUAUGGGACUUCAUUAAAAAAAAACAACAUUUUCGUUCUAAAACUCAUUAGAAAUUAUAUCUUCAGGCAGUAGAUUAUUCAAACUUUUUAAAAAGAAAAUUACAUUUUUAACCCAUGUAGCGAACUUUAGGCCAGCGACUCACAGACUAGUUGGCCUUUAGGCACUAGGUGUUGAGACACCCCUAUAGACUUAAUUACUCGGGUUUUUAAUAAAUAAGUAAACAAUAUAUCUAUAACUCAUGUAACGAGCUUUGGGCCAAUGACUCCCAGACCGGUUGGCCUUAGAGCAUUAAGUGUUGAAACUCCCUUAUGGACUUAAUUACUCAGGAUCUAGAUAUAACAAAAUUAAACACAUUCAAAAUUUUUUUUUUUUUUGUUUUUGGUUUUGGCAGUAUACACUUCUAAUACCUUAGAUAUUAUCGCUAAUAAAUCAAAAGAACUAAAUGCUGUAAAAUUUUUAACUUACAACCCACUAGUAUGUGUCAUAGUGUGUGUAAAGAAUGAUUUAAUAAUAUAUGUUAAACGAGUAAACAACAAAACGACUUAAUAACCAAAUGGAGAGUACAAAUUUGAGUAAUUUUUAAAAAAGGAAAAAAAACAACUUACUAUGAAUUUUAAAUCAAAAUAUAACACAAUAGGACUGUUAGGAGGCAUCUCAAAAAUCGUGACUCUUUACAUAGCCAUCUUAGGCAAAAAUAAAUAGUUGUUUUUGUUUUUGUUUUUUUUGUUUUCUUGCAGAAAAAUAAACAAACAAACACACUUAUUUACAAUUUACGUCAACUAUCCCUUCCUCCUAACCUAAUCUAAACAUUAUUCAUAAUUUAAAGAUAUGCAUGCAAAAAGACGAAAAAGAUAAAGAAAACAUAAAUAAUAAGAAGAAGACAUAAGAAAAAUCACAUCUGAACAUACUGCAGAAGAUGCAUUUCUAGAGCCGCUACACCCCAUAUUCAGCUAUCUUCGACAUAAACAUUACCAGGAUUUGAGAUAUUUCGUAAUUGUCAACUAUUCCCUCCCCCCGACCAAUAUAAGACAUUGUCCUCAAUGGCUUAAGGGAAAAAAAGUAGAGUUUAGAAAAUAUUACCUAAUCGCUCCGAGAAUAUAAUUACAACUGAAGAGUUAAGUCCAACUUGUACUUCUUAUUAGGGCCAGGGUUACUAUAAUUAAACAACCAUUCCAAUGCCAAGGUCUUAGGAUUUGGCUCUAGUUUGUAAGCUUGUAAAAGAUUAAGUAACUCAUUAGCAGUAGAAGCACAAAUAAAGUUUUUUUCGCGGAGAUUGGAAUAAAAUGAUUCUUAAUUGCAUGGUUAAUGAAUGUGAGCAAGCCAUCAUGACAAUUAUUAAGAUUUAGCAAAUUGAUAAAUUUUUUAUGGAUGUUCAAAUGGGCCCAAGAUGCAAAUGUAAUAAGUGUAUCUAAAGUUGCAAAUCUCAUGGCAAGAAAAUGAAAGCUUGCAAAUCUCCUGGCAAGAAAAUGAAAGCGUCAGCAUGAUUUAACGUUUUAGAUAUUCGCUCUUGCAUACUUGAGAUAACUAACUCUUCUCCAAUUGGUAGGUCGGACAGGCAUCCCAGAGGUUUUAAGGCUUGUGGAAUGAUACAUAGCACCUGGUUUCCUAUAAUAAAAAUAGCUUCUGAGACAAGUUUUGAACCUGCAGUCACCUCCUCCAUAUACAAGGUGUAGUUUUCUCUCAGCUAUAAUACGUCUAAGAUCUAUAGCUGCUUGAACGAACUUCUUGUAUUUUCCAUAAUGAAAUCUAGAAAGCACACAAAUAUUUUUGAAUUGGCUAUUCAAAGAUGCUGCCAUUGGAAUAAUCUUCAAAAACAAGUUGUGAGUGUUUAGGAAAAGAGCUCAUAUUUAAAUAUUUUAGUGACAGACAAAAUGAGAAACAUCUAUAAAUGGGUUGAUGUAUUUUUCAAAUGACGCAUAAAGCUCAUGUCUCAAUAAUUCAAAAGCAAAUAAUAAAAAGAAAAAGCAAACAAUGAUUAAAAAAAGCAAACAGUAAAAGAAAAACAAACAGUGAAAAAACAAUAAUAAAAAAUAAUGAUUAAAUAAAAAAUUAUACCACUAAAUGCAAUAAUGCAAAUGAUAAAAGAACAACAAAAUAAAAGGAUAUUUACUAGUAAUUGUGAUUGUGGCUCACAUCUUCAUCUGAUUUUACGUCCAGUAACGGCUUGAACGCCCUCUAUGGGUCGAGGAUUAGCUUCCCAUCUAGUUUUCUUAUAAACUAGCAAAUAAGGUCUUUUUGAUUCAGAUUUUCAAGACUAAAUUGUGCGCUUUCUUUUUGGAAUAGCUUCCAUAACCUAUUAAUCUCAUAUUGCACAUGUCUGCUUCGACGCGUCUCAAGAUAUUAUCCAAUAAUUCUUUACUUAGGCCAUCUUUAUCGAACUGCUUCUUGAUUAUCAUACACCAUUCCUAAAGAUUUAUAAAUUUCUUGUUUUGCAACUAAGUCUUACACAAUUGUGACAUUCUGAGCCAAGUCUUUUAGCUCUUUUUUUUUUUUUAUAGCAAAUGUGCUUUUACCAAAACCAAACAUGUAAGAAAUAAAUGGAUCAAGAAACUCACCAACUAAUCGUACCUUUGCUUCAAUUAACCAAUGAAUAUCAGUAGGAAAUCCCAUUAAUAAUUAACAAACGCAAUCAUUCACAAUGAACUUUGUAAAUUUUCUUGAGGGCAUUUUGAGGGAGAGAAUGAAAAUACUUGUGCAAUUUAUGUUGUAUUUCUUUCAUGAUAGAUUUUGAGGUCUCAGUUAUUGUGGGAAACUAAGGAUAUCGACUUAAGAAGUCACAGACUACCGUUAUCCACCAUUUAUACGAGAAAAUAAAUCAAACAUGCCAAAAUAUCCGCCAUUCAUCCUUUUAUUGAGUUAACCUCAAACUCCAAUUAAAAUUCAUAUAUACCAUCCUCUAUUUCUUUGAGUUGUCUUUCUGGAUUCUCAACGUAGGACCCUAAUGUUGGUGGUUACAAAUCUCAAAUUGGAAGUGAUUUACAACUUUGUAUCAAGCCUCUCAAGUGAAAUUUCACUAGCAAUAAGUUUUUAAGAUGUGUCAAUAGAAUAUUCCUUAUUCAGGUGCUCAUGAUGUAUAAUGACAAAAAAAAAAACACAAUUAUCAAACACACUUAAGUAAGAAACAUCAUAACGCGUAUCAUUUAAGACAGUCAAACAAUUCAAAUGGUAAAGUAACCGUGAAAAGUUAAAUCACUCAUUAAAAACUUAAUCAAGAUUUGGUGGGUCACUUAAAUUUAUUUCGGUGCUUUCUUCACGUGGUUGAUAUUCCAGAUAUGGUUUUAAUAUUUGUCCAUUAACUUUAAAUGUGACACUGUUAUUUGGAUUCUUAAUUUCUAUAGUCCUAUAAGGAUAUACAUUUUUUAUAACAAAUGGGCCACUCCACUUUGACUUUAAUUUUCCUGAAAACAAAUAAGGCGAGAAUUGUAAAGCAACAUUUUUUGACCAAUCUCAAAUAUUUUCCGGAAAAUUCUUUUAUCAUGAAAAAAUUUUGUUCUUGCCUUAAUAAUUCUUGAAUUUUCAUAUGCAUCAUUCCUUAAUUCCUCAAGUUUAUUCAAUUGCAAUUUUCGCACAUUACCAACAUCAUCCAAAUUUGAAUUAAAAGCUUUAAUAGCCCAAAAUAAUUUAUGCUCAAGUUCAACAGGUAAGUGGUUGGCCCAUAGUGCAUCAGUCGGUCGAAGAGACCAAUCUUUACAGUUUGGGUUAAUUGCCUUUUUUAAAAUUUGUUUUAUCUCCCUAUUUGACAGUUUCCACCAUUAAGUUUUUAAUGCUUUUAACUCUCUUUUUUAAAAUUUGUUAAUUUGACAGUUAACCCAAACCAUCUUUUUUAAAAUCGUCUUGGCGAUGCAUUCCUGAUAAUGAGAUAAGUCGUGUUAUUAAUUUUUGUUAUUCUGAAGCAUGUGGUGGACACUUUUCUUCAAGAAAAAACACAACUAAAAUUUUGCAAUGUGGAUUUUAUUCGCCUACCAUAUUCAAAUACACAUAUGAAUUUUGCAAAACUUGUGAAAAUUGUCAAAAAUUAACAUCAAUUACUAAAAGAAACAUGAUGCCCUUAAAUCCCACACUUGAGAUUGAGAUAUUUGUUGUUAGCCUAAAAGGUUACACAUAAUAUAAUUUUGAUAAUAACAAACAUGUGUCUUAAGUGAUUUAAUAAAUAUUAUAUUUCACAUUUUCACUAGUUUUUGAAGUAUAAUAUUUAUGCAAGUGAAUCAAGUGAACUUAAGUUCAAGACACUCAACAGAUAUCGGUGAAAUCAAGAAUAAAGUUUAGAGCUCAACGGACAAAUUAUUACGACAAAUUCUUGUAAAGUGGUAUGAUUUAAUUGAUACAUGAAUUAGCAUUUGAGAAGCUCAAGAGUUUAUUUAAAUAAUUACUUUUCAUAAACUAAAAUGUUUUAUAUUUAUAAGAUAAAGUAUUUUGUGAAUUUCAGUAAUUUGGACUAAAAUGAGUUUUCCAAUAUUUGAAUUUAAUAAGAAUUAUUUUGAAUUCUGGAGUUAGACCUAUUUGCAAACAUUUGAAACAUUUUGCGUCAUACUUUAAUUAAUGAAAGUUUGAAAACCUGAAUGUAAUCCAAACAUUUGAAAUCCAAAAUUGGACAGAGAGUGAGCGGCUAACUGCCUGAGGGCUAGCGGCUAGCCGCCUGAGGAAAAUCUCAUAUUUUCAAAAUUUGGACUAAAGUGAAAGGUUUUGAAAACUUUAAAAAUUAUAGGCAUUAUGUUAAAUUUUGAAAAGAACCUAUUUGAAAAAUGCUAUUAUAUUUGGGGCCAUAUCAUAAUUUCAAAAAAUUUUGGGAAUGACAAGCAUUAUUUAGAAAUUCUAACAUUGGAUAUGUUUGUAAAGUUUUAUGACUUUUGGGCCAUAAUAUAAUUAUAGAAACUUUUGGGCAAAUAUAUAAUUUUGUGAACAGUGCUAUUAUAGUAAAAUUCAAAUUUAAUGGUAACAUCACUGUUCUGGGCGGCUAGCUCGAUAAAUCAAGCGGCUAACCGCUUGGUUGCGAGAAUUUGCCUAUAACAGCUAGUUUUCGGGCUUUAACUAUAAAAUCCCAACUCCAACUUCAUUUUAGAGACUAAUGCAAGAAUAAACAAGAUCAUAUAACAUAUAUUGAGCUUCCAUUUUGUAAAUCAUCAUUUAUUGAAUUAUCAUUGAGCUAUAAUUUGUUUAUCCACUCUUAAAGAGAGUUUCAUUGUUGUAAUUUUCAUUUCUCAUCAAAUUAUGAGUGUACAAGUGUGAAAAACACUUGGGGUGAAGAGAUUGGAGAGAUAAUCUCUUUAUUGUAAAGGUCCAUUGACACCUUGGAAGUCAAUUGUAAAUAUUUAAAGCCUUGAAAAGCUUGGAUAGUGAAAUUCUCAAGCCGGGUGAGCUUGGAGGCGUGCACGUAGGUGGGGAUUGCCAAACCAUGUAAAAAUCCUUGUGUUUGUUUUAUCUUCCCUUACUCUUUUAAUAUUGUGCUUGAUUGAAUUUUUUGUUUUCGAUUCCAUUAAGACAUUAGAUUGAAUUGUUGUGUGGUUUGCUUAGCAUAAUUUUUAAAAUCUCAAUUCACCCCCCUCUUGGGUUGCAUAACUUGCAUUUCAUUUGUGUGAGAUUUAGUUGUGGUUGAGCUAGAAAUUUUCCUUUUUCUUGAAUUGUGAGUGCAGAAGCAAUUUUAGUAAGAGUAUCUUUCAAAUCAGAAAAGGUUUGUGCAUUUUGAUUAUUAAUAGCAUUUUGCUUCUUAAUGAAUGAAUGCAUUGUAUCUUCCAAAUUUUUCCAUGUUGAUGGAACAUAUGGUACAUAAGGAUGAGCAUUUUGAAAAUUUUGUGGAGGUGGUGCUUGUGAUGAUUGUGCAUUAUUAUUAUUCAUCCAACUAAAAUUUGGAUGAUUUCUCCAACUAUGAUCAUAAGUAUGUGAAUAUGGGUUUGACUUAUUAAAAGAGUUAAUGACAUUAGUUUGAUCAUGCAAACAUUCUUUAAGUGCGGGCAGAGUCGGACAAUCUUGAGUGAAAUGAACAUUAGAACUACAAACAUCACAUGCAAUUUCUCAAACAAAUUUUACUUGAUCACUCUUUUUAUUCUUCAAAGCUUCAACCUUCCUAAUUUAGGGAUGUAACUUUUGAUAGUAAAUCAUGAUCUUCCCUAAGGUUAUAAAAUCCUCCAUUUGAUGGAUAUGGUUCUAGUUUAUUUUUUAAUUCAAAAGUGCCAACAAUAUCCCAAUGUUGUGCAUUUUCAGCUAAUUGGUCAAGGUAACUAGUGCAUCUUCAAGAUUUUUAUCUCUAAAUUCACCAUUAAACAUCAUUUCUACAACUUGUUUACUUUAUGGUGUUAAGCCCUCGUAGAAAUAAGUAACCAAUCGCCAAGUUUCAAAACCAUAGUGUGGACAUAUGUUAAGCAAUUUUUUAAAUCUAUCCCAACAUUGGUAUAAUGUUUCUUUGUUUUUUUAGUGAAAAAAGUAAUUGCCUUUUAAAAGAAUUGAUUCUAUGAGGUGGACAAAAUUUUUCAAAAAUUGUUCUUGCAUGUUAUUCCAAGUUCUUAUUGAUCCAGAUUUAAGGUUUUGUAGCCAAAUUUUAGCUUUAUCUUUUAAUGAAAAAGGAAAAAGUUUUAAUCUAAUUAUGUUCAUGCUACAAUUUUGGUCUGUGUAUGUAUUACAAACUUCCUUAAAAUCUCCUAAAUGCAAGUAUGGAUUCUCAUAUUCUAAACCAUGAAAUAUUGGUAAAAGUUGGAUAAUACUUGGUUUGAAGUUGAAUCGAGAUGCUUCUGGAGGAAAUACUAUACACGACAGUGCUCUGGUUCUCAUUGGAUUCAUAUAAUCUCUCAAAGUUCUUGGUUGAUUCUAAUCAUGUUGAGAUUGAUUGUCUCCCUAAUCAAUUGGAGGAUUAAGUUGGCCCAAAAGAUUUCCGUCUUGGAUCUCGUUCAUGAUUGGUGGUGGUGAUUGAAAUCUACGAAUUAACCUGCCACUUAAAGUUCGAGACCAAUGUCUCAUGCAAUGAUGAUGAUGAUGAUGUGUGUGUGUGUGAAAUUAUGUUGUAAAGAUGAUACCCAAACAAAUGAAUAAAAACAAUAAAAAUUACCCAAAUUAAAAACAAAAUGAAAAUUAAAUAAACAAGAUAAAUGUACAAAAGAAUACAAAAUAAAAAUAAAUAAACUGAAAAUUAAUUCAACAUAUUUGAAAUAAAGGGAAUUAUUAAAAAUAAAAAAGAACAUAAUUAAAAAAAGUAUUAGAAAAUGAAAAUGAAAAUAAAACUAAUUUUAUUUAUUGAAAAUAUAUUACAAAGAGAGAUGAGAAGAAGACUUUGAGGGGAAAGAAGAGAAGGAAAGAUGUAGAGAGGUGUGUUCCCCCCUCUCUAUUUAUACUAAUACAUGAUUAAUCCAAACCACACAAAUAAAUAAAGCUAAUUAGAUCUUAGCCAUACAUUUGUCCCACUAAUAAAACAUAAAUCUAACUUAAUCCACUCAAGCACAUCCAACACAUUCCACUAACAAUUACAAUACCUAACAUAGUAAAAACUUAUAAUUUCACAAUUACCACAUUUACCGUGGUAAAAACUUAUAAAUUUUAUAACAAAAGUGGCCGAUCCUCUUUGAUAAUGACCUAAUUUCUCGGACUUCCGAAAUCCAAAUUUAACAUCCGUACAUGUGUUUUGAGCCUCAAAUUGUGUGAAAUUAUUUUUUUUACCUAAUAAACACACAAAAUCAAAUAUUUAGAAAAAUAAUUAGAAAUUCAUAAUAUGUUACAUAAUUACAAACGUAAAUUUAUUAUAAGCACAAAAUAACAUUUUUACACCUUAAUAAACAUACAAUUUUUAACAUUAAUUAAUACUCGAUAUUAUUUAAUCAGUGAAGCAAAUGCAUGUAGACAGAAAAAAAAAAUUACAUUAGAAAGUGCUAAUGUAUAACUAAUUAGAUAGAAUAUUGUAUUACAAAAUAAAAACCAUAAACAACCACUUAAAGAAUUAUUUAAUCAUGCCCCAGCAAGGGACUAAUAAAAAUUCAAAAAUUUCUUUCUCAGUUGGUGAUAGUAUAGACAUUGCAAAAGAAAAAACAGUAAAAAUCUUUUACCAAGACUUUGUUUCAGUUGCCAACCAAAUAUUUUAUAGCAAGAUGAAUCUCUUAAUUGAGCUUGGAUGUGGAUGGUCAGAACUAAAAAAUAUUACCCUUCUUAGACAUGAUUUUCUUUCCAUUUUCUUUGAUUAUUCUUUAGUUAAAACCUUAGACAAUGAAAAUUUAUUAUUUAAAGCCCUUAGUUUAGAAAUGAUACAUAAUAUUUAAAUUUUUAGCUUAGACAGAUUUGGAUUCUUUCUACCAAUUUUAAACAGAGUCCUAUCUAUCAUAAAACCAGCACUUUUAACCAUAAACUUCAGCUCUUUGCCUUUUAGACUCCAAAUAAUUAAUAGAAAGGAAACAAGUGUCAUACUGCAACAUAUCAUGUCAUUUUUAUAAGCGAAAGAGCCAACUGAAAUAUAAGUGUGCAACCCAAGAGGGGGGCGAAUUGGUAUUUUAAAAAUUAUCCUAGCAAAUCCACACAAUAAAUAAUCUAACUUCUUAAUAAAAUUGAAAGCAAUAAGUUCAAUUAAAGCACAAUAACAAAUGAGUAAGGGAGAAGAGAAACAAACACACGAAUUUUUACGUGGUUCGGCAAUCCCCGCCUACGUCCACGCCUCCAAGUGAUCCAAGCUCGAGGAUUUCACUAUCCGAAAAUUUCCAAGGCUUCAACCGUUUACAAUUGAUUUCAAGAUGUCAAUGGACCUUUACAACAAAGAGAUUAUCUCCCAAUUUCUUCACUCAAGUGUCUCACACACUCAAACACUUACAAUUAAGAUAAAGAAAUGAAAGUUACAACAAAACUCACUCAAAGAGUAGAUAUUCAAAAAUGAAGAUCAAGAGAUGAUUCAAUGUGUUUUGUGUUUUGCAAAUUGAAAGCUCAACAUAUCUCAUGUGAUUUUUGUUUAUGCAUGCUGGAGAGAGUGAAAAUGAAUUGGAUUUGAGUUUAUAUAGUUUGAGCUAAAAAACUAGCCGUUAUGUACAUUUUGGUCAUAACCGGCUUACCGUUUAUGGACAUUCGGUUAGCCGCUUAAUGUUACCGUUACAACCACAAUUUUGAAUUUCUGAACAUCCGGUAUGCCGCUUGUGAAAUCCGGUUAGCCGUUUAAGUUCCAGAAACAUUCAGCUCGAACCCGGUCUACCAUUUGUCAGGAUCCGGAUAGCCGCUUGCUACAGUAACUGCUACAGUGAACUAUGUUUCAAAAUUAUAGUUUGACCCCAAAACUUUAUAAAAUUAUAUUAUGGCCCAAAACAUUAUAAAACUUUUCAAAUAGGCCCAAUUUCUAAAUUUCUAAAUAUUAAUUUAUUAAUCCUAAAAAUUUCUGAAAUUAAGAUAUGACCCAAAAUAUGUGAAAUUAUAGAAUGACCCAAAACAUUUAAAGAUUUUCAAAUAUGUCCAAAUCCGAAAUUCAAAACAAUAUCAAAGGUUUUAAAAUACUUUCAUUUUAAUCCAAAACACUUUGAUUCCAUAACAUCAUUUUCUUAUUAUAAAAACGCAAUUCAUAAAUCUUUGUUUAAUCAAUACAUGUGGUUUGUUAUCAUCAAAAUCAAUAUCUAUAGCCAUAUAGGCUAACACCAACAAGUCCUGAAGAAGACAUUAUCAUGAUAAGCCCAGCUUCUCUGCAAAAGACAUAUAUAGAAGAACCCAUGAAAUUGCAGCCUUCUAUAAAUGGGUUGACCCUCAUUAUGAUAUGAUCAUGUUAUAACAAGAAAUUCCUUUGGUGAAAAUCAUCACUUAUAAGUCAGGAACAUUCAUGUUGUAUCACAAAGAAUCAAUAACGAAUUAUGAGGAAGCGUAUCUAAAUUCAUAACGUUGAAUUGCUCUUUGGAGUAUUGCGGUUGGUAUUUUAGAUCAACACUUUAUUCUAGAGAAUCCUUUAAGUUUCUCACUACUCUCUCUGAUGAUGUGAUAUUAGCAAGAAUAGAAAGAUACGUGUGGCCUGGAGACCAUAACCACUUAUUUAGAUAACUUAUUCCUGUUGUUAUUAGGUAUUCUUAAUUUUGCCCAUUAUAGAAUUAGAAUAUCAUUAGUUCUUUAAACAUUAAAGGCCCACACCCUAUUAGAUACAUUAAAGCCCAUAAUACCGAAAAUUUUAAUAGAUCACUUUUAAUUGGGCUUAAUCUUAAAUGACAAUGUGCAACACAUGAUUAUUCACAUAUAAGCCCAACAUUGGAUUAAGGAUUCAACAAUGCUAGAUUAAAAAUCCAACAAAUCAUAGCCCAAGCACAAAACUAUACUAUUUUAGCUUAAAAGUAUCUUGUUCGUGAAGAUUAACUUAGUCAUUUACUACAGAAUAUUUAGAAUCGCUAAUUAAGAUUAAUGACAUGCCAUCAUCAGGAAGUGAAUCUGAAGCUAUGAGUCAUCGAUCUUUCGAUGAAGACAUAACAACAACUAUUGAUGACAUGAUGAACAUAUAAAAGACACCUUUAGCCAGCUAGUAGUACUAAAAAGUCAAGUAGUCAGUCUUUAUUACUGUCAUUUUUUUUACAGAUAUCCUUCAUUUACUCACUACCCAAUAAGGGAAAAGCUAUGAAUACAUCUUUUUCAUUUUUUUUCAUUUUAUUACCAACAUUGGGUCAUCAUAAAGUAAUAGUAGCUAGUCAAUUUUUUUACUACUUACAUUUUACCUAGUUUGUAGCAAAUUUCCACCUAUAAAGUGUAAUCUCAAAAUCUUAUUUCUUGUACAUCGAGUUAUUAAUUGUAACAAUAAUUAUAAGAAGUCCUCGAUUGUAUACAUACCUUUUAAGUCACCGAGAGAGUAGAGUUAUAUAGAGACUUGUAGAGAAUCUCGAGUCAAGAAAGUCUACACUUGUAUGCAAGCAAAGCAAUAAAAAGUUUCUUUAUUCAUAGACACUUAGCAAUCUUUCAGACAUCAGUCAACAACCCCUUAUCAAGUAAGUAAAUUUAAUUUCUUUAGUUUUAUUUAUUUAUCUUUCGGGUUUAGAAUCCUCGCCUAGUUAACGAAAGCAUAAAUUAUAUUUAAAGCAUUAACAAAUGGCGGUCCUUGUUAUUAUUUAAGGGAAAAAGUUUAGAAGAAGGUUUUUGAAAAAUGGGUUUUUGUUUUUAAUAAAAAUAAUAAGAACUUAGUAAAAGUUUCUACUAAAUUUUUGAAAGCUUCUUAUUAGAUACAGUCUUCGUUGGCCCGUUUAUAUUGAAAAGGUGUUUUUAAGCGCGAAUUAGGAGUUUUGAUAGUGUUUUCUACCAGUAGGUUUUGAAAACCAAUUUAAUAAACUUUAAAAAAACAAUUUUACUGAGGCAACGUCCAAUUGUCAUAAACUUUUUAGGAAUUCAUUGUAUAUAGAUGGGAAACCAAUGACAUAUAUUUUGAUGGUUAACUUGGAUAGGAAUUAUAUACUAUCAGUAUAACAAGCCACGUAUAAGUCUUCCCCUCGCCUGCUCUGACACCAAAAAAGAGAAAAUGGUUAGCAGACGAGGGAAAGACUUGUAUGUGGCUUGUUAUACUGACAAUAUAGAUCGACAUAGUCUCAAUUUAGGUUAACCAUUAGAAUAUAUGUUGUCAGUUUCCCGCCCAUAUACAACGAAUUCUGAAUGAAAACUGUGAGAGCUACCUCGGCAAAAACAUAUCUUUUAAAGUUUUCUAAAUUGAUUCUGAAGCAUAUUGGUAAAAAAAACACUUUAAAAUUCCUCAUUUAGGCCCAAAAAUACCUUUUCAAUACAUCAACGGCUAAACGGGCCAACGAAAAUUGUGUUUAAUAAGAAGCUUUCAUAAAUUCAGCACAAACGUUUACUCAAUUUUUAUAAUUUUUGUCAAAAAUAAAAACAAAAACUUAUUUUUCAAAAACCUUCUUCCAAACUCUUUUUCCUUGAAUAAUAACAAGUAUCGUCUUUUAUUAAUGCUUUAAAUAUAACUUAUACUUUCAUUAACUAGGUGAAAGUUCUAAGCUCAAAAGAUAAAUAAACAAAACUUAAGAAAUUAAAUUUACUUACUUGAUAAGAGCUUACUAACUGAUGUCUAAAAGAUUGCUAAGUGUUUAUAAAUAAAGAAACUUUUUAUUACUUUCUUAAAUAGAAGUGUAGGCUUUCUAGACUCUAUAAGUCUCUAUAUAACUCUUUGUAACUUGAGAGGUCUAUAUAUACAAUUGAGGACUCAUCAAAAUUAUUGCUACAAUUAGACUCAAUAUACAAGAGAUCAGUUUUGAGAUUACACUUUACAAGUGGCAGUUUCUCAAGGGCUGGUUAAAAGUAAAUAGUAAAAAGAUCGACUGCCUUGUUACUUAUGAUGACUCAAUGUCAGUAAACAGAGAUUGGCUAUUAUUUUUUAAGCUAACUCAGUGUCAGUAAUAAAAUGAAAAAAUGAAAAAAAAAUGUCUUCACAAUUUUUUCAGUAUAUACAUAUAUAAACACUACACUAAUAAAGACUGACAACUUAACUUUUUUACUACUGCUAGCUGGAUAAUCAUCCAUGUCAUUUUCUAUGUUGUCUGCUUCUUCACUUUCCAAAUCAUCCUACCAUUCGGCUUCGCAUUAGGCUAAUUCUUGUUGUUCUCUUUGAGCUCUCAUUUUUUCUUUGAAUUCUUUCGCAUAAUGCUCGACAAUCUUGUUUGUUUGAUUUUGAAAUGGGAUGUUUAGAAUAAAUUUCACUACAUCUCCAACAAUUAAGAUAUGGUCUUCAAACUCAUAAAAGGCCCAAAAAAUUGUUGUUGGGAAAGAGACUUACACAACAAAAAAUGGGUUAGAUAUGAUGACAAAAUCAUUACUUAAGGAGAAGUUGAAAAGCUGUAUGCAGAAAGUGGGCUUAGUGGUGCCCCUCAAAUGAGCUGGAGGGGGAGAUUUGCAGGAUCCAUCUCAUAUUAGUGGACCAAAAUGCCCAAAGUAAAAAUAUGUUUGCUUGGUUUGUAAUUUUUACAAAGCUUUGGACUUGGAUGAAAUUUGGCAUAAAAUUUAGGUUUCGAAAACGUGACAAUAUAAAUAAGAAUAAGUGGAGGCGGCAGUAGCUUUUUGUGGAGAAGAAAAGGAUGAGAGAGAUAAGAGAGAACAGUGACGCAUUAUUAUAUUUGGGGGCUUUAGAUUUCAAUAUUUGAUUGGACGAUUAGAAAGCGAAAUUAACUCUGUUUUCUCCCAAAUUUUGAGGGUAAGUUCCUGGCAACGCCCCCUACAAUCCUUUUGUCAUGAUUUUUAUUUUAUCCUUUUGUCAGCUAUUAUUUGAUAUAUCCACUUAUUAGAGAGACAUAUAUUAUGUUGUUACUAUAAGUCAAGUAUAUUGAGAUUCUUAAUGUUGUUAGCCUCUAAUAUUAUCUAAAGAAAACUUUAUACUGUAAUCCUAUUAAUAUAGUGGAAGAUUAUAUCGGACUAUGGUCCCGUGAUUUUUCCCGCUUUGGAUUUUUCACGUAAAAAUCUGUAAUUUUAUGGUUGGUUUUUUGCUUUGGAUUAUGUUGGUUUAUUUUUUACCUAUUUAUUUGUGGUACACAUCUCAUUUUAAUCACACAAAGAGGAAAAUAAUUUUAUUUCCUCUUAAUUUACAGCUAUUUAUGUGAGUCUAUUUCCUAACAAAGUGGUAUCAGAGCGUCAGGUUUUGUAUUUUUUAUUACUUAUUUGGUUGAGAUUAAGGAGCCCUCGGCAUGCAUGAUUAAAUUAAAGUCAUAGAACUAUAGUAUUUGGAAGUCUAGGAUGGAAAAUUUACUGUACAUGAAAGAUUUACAUGAGCCCCUUGAAGGCGAAGAAGCUAGACCCGCCAAUUUAGAUGGUAAGAAGUGGGCUCAAUUAAACCAGAAGGUCAUAGGUGCUAUUAAAUUAUGGAUUGAUCAAAGUGUGUACUACCAUGUAGCGAAUGAAUCCAAGGCUAAUGUUCUUUGGAGAAAAUUAGUGACGAUUUAUGAGCAGCAGACAGCACAAAAUAAAGCUAAUCAGUUGACUACUAUGAAAAUUAUUUUAGAUGAUGAGUUACAAGAAUUAUUGUUACUUAAUUAUUUACCUGACAGUUGGAAGACAUUAGUUGUGUUAGUGAAUAAUUCAGCACCGAAUAGGAAAUUAACCUUGGAUAUGGUUACAAAGAGAAAAUUACAGCCCUAGUUGAUGGUGAUGCUUAGAAAAAUGGUGAUUACUUCAUAUCGUGAUUACUUUACAUCAUAUGUCAAUUGUAAUUAUGACCAUGUUCGGAUGGAAAAUGGAGGAGCAUCUAAGAUUGUGGGGAUAAGAUAUAUUUGCUUGGAAAUGAGCAUUGGUUGUAAGUUAUUGUUUAAAGAUGUCAGACAUAUACCAUAUAUUUGCCUUAAUUUGAUCUCUACAGGCAAGCUUGAUGAUACUGGUUAAAGUAACCAAUUUGCUAAAAGAAAAUAGAAGCUCACUAAAGGCUCCUUAGUGUUAACAAAAGGGAGAAAAGUAAACAUUCUCUAUGUGAUAGAGGCCAAGAACAAGAAAGAAUAUCUGAAUAUGGCUGUAAAAGAUUCUAACAUUGAGACAUGGCACAAAAGACUUGGUCACAUUGGUGAGAAAGGAUUAGAAACUCUUGCCAGAAAAGGAUUUCUACUGAGCUUCGCUGGUACAUCCCUUAAGACUUAUGUUCAUUGCUUAACUGGAAAGACACUGAGUAGCUUUUAAAAUUUUUUCUCCAUUAAGAAAGUCGUAGAUCCUUGAUUUGAUUCACACUUAUUUUUGGAUUAUGCAAAGUAGAUCAAUAGGGGGUACAUUUUAUUUCGUGACUUUUAUUGAUGAAUGUUCUAGAAAAGUGUGGGCUUUUCCUUUGAAAUCUAAAGACCAGGUGUUUGAUAUGUUUAAGUUCUUCUAUACUUAUGUCGAGAGAGAGACAUGAGGAAAACUAAAAUUUUUUAGGGCAGAUAAUGGUAGUGGGUACAGAGGACCAUUUUAGCAGUAUUGCAGAUCCCAUGGAAUCAGACUUGGAGACUAUGCCAAAAACCCCGCAGAAUGGUGUUGCAGAAAGGAUGAACAGAAUAAUUUAAUAAAGAUUACGUGUAUGCUUUCUGAUGCCAAGCUUCAUAAAUCUUUCUAGGCAAAGGCUAUGCGUACUGCAAUUGAUUUAAUUAACUUUUUUGCUUCAGCUCUAUUAGAAGGCGAUGUACCUAACAAAGUUUGGACUGGGAAAGAUGUUUCUUAUAAACACUUGAGAGUGUUUGGUUACAGAGUAUUCGUUCACAUUCUUCAAGAUGAGAGAUCAAAACUUGAUGAUAGAGCCAAGGAAUGCAUUUUCUUUGGCUAAGGGCAUGAAGAAUUUGGGUAUAGAUUAUGGGAUCCAAUGGCAAAGAAAUUGAUCAAAAGUAGAGAUGUUGUGAUCCUUGAAGAUCAAAUAGUUGGUGAUGUAGAAAAGAGUGAUGAGUCUCAGUCAUCUCCAGAGAUUAAUAUUAUUCUAACUUCAGUUUCUCUACUUGUAAUUCAUGAUGAUUAUAGGCGAGCUGGAGAGGAUAAUAAUGAUAGUCCAGCAGAACUAAUUGACCAGGCACCUCCAGAACCACCAGCACCACCAGUUGAGCCAAAAUUGAGAAGCUCCAUUAGAGAACGGCGACCUUCCACUAGAUAUCCUCUACAUGAAUAUAUGAUGCUUACAGAUGGAGGGGAGUCAGAAUAUUUUGAAGAAACCAUAUCUCACCAGCCUAAAAAUAAGUGGGUUAAAACCUGCAAGAGUAUAUGAAAUCCUUGUAUGAAAACUACACUUAUGACUUAAUAAAGCUUCCUAAGGGAAAUAUAGCACUGAAGAACAAAUGAGUUUACAAGUUGAAGAUUAAAAAUAACUCACAAUAACGAUACAAGGCUAGAUUGGUUGUGAAAGGUUUCGGUCAGAAGAAAUGUAUUGAUUUUGAAGAAAUAUUUUCUCCUGUAGUGAAGAUGUCUUCUAUCCGAGUUGUUCUAAGAUUAACAACUAGUUUGAAUUUGGAUAUUAAAUAGCUUGAUGUAAAGACAACUUUCUUACACGGUGACUUAGAGGAGGAAAUAUACAUAAAGCAACUUAAAGGGUUUAGUGUCAAAGGCAAAGAAGAACUUGUGUGUAAGUUGAAGAAAAGUUUGUAUGGGGUAAAACAUGCACCAAGGCAGUGGUAUAAGAAGUUUGAUUCUUUCAUGGAGAAUCAUAUAUUUAACAAGACAAUGUGUGAUCAUUGUGUUUUUGUGAAGAAGUUUGAUGAUAAUGAUUUCAUCAUUCUUUUACUUUAAGUGGAUGACAUGUUGAUUGUUGGUCAGGAUGCUAGUAAAAUUAAUAAUUUAAAGAAAGAGUUAAGCAAGUCUUUUGCAAUAAAUGACUUGGGACCUGCAAAACAGAUUCUUGGUAUGAAGAUUUCCUGCGAUUGAAAAUUUGGGAAGUUACGGUUAUCUGAAGAAGCAUAUGUUGAAAGGGUUUUUUAAAGAUUUAACAUGAGCAAGGCAAAAUCUGCUUGUUCUCCACUUGCGGGCCAUUUCAAACUUAGUUCCAAGUAUUAUCCUACAAGUGAGAAAGAGAAGUAAGAGAUGAAAAGAGUUUCUUAUGCUUCAGUAGUUGGUAGUUUGAUGUACACUAUGGUUUGUACAAGACUAGAUAUUGCUCAUAUAGUUGGUGUAUUCAGCCGGUUUCUCUCCAAUUUAGGUAAAGAGCACUAGACAGCAGUAAAGUGGAUUCUCAUAUAUCUCAAAGGCACUUCCAGAGUAUGUUUAUGUUUUGGCAGUGACAACCCUCUAUUACAUGUGUACACGGAUGUAGAUAUGGCAGGAUAUGUUGAUUCUAGAAAAUCCAUGUUAGGAUAUUUGCUCACCUUUACAAGGGGAGCAGUCUUAUGACAGUCCAGACUUCAGUAGUGUGUUGCUCUGUUUACCAAAGAAGUAAAGUAUAUUGUAAUUACUGAAGGUUGCAAAGAAACCUUGUGGAUGAAAAAUUUCCUAUAAGAGUUAGAUGUGAAGUAAGACAGUUUUAUUGUAUACUGCGACAGCCAAAGUGUCAUUGACUUGGCAAAGAAUUCGACAUACCAUUCAAAACUCAAGCAUACUGAUGUGAGGUAUCAUUGGAUACGAGACAUGCUUGAGAAGAAACAAUUACAUAUUGAAAAUAUUCACACAACAGAGAAUGGGUAAGAUAUAAUAACAAAGUCAUUACCCAAUGAGAAGAUGAAAAGUUGUAUGCCUCUAGCAGGCUUGAUGGUGUCCCUCAAAUGAGCUAGAGUAGGAAAUUUGUAGGGUUGAUCUCAUUUUAAUGGAUCAAAAUGCCUAAAGUUGAAAUAAGUUUGCUUGGUUUGUAAUUAUUGCUAGGCUUUGGGCUUGGAUGAAAUUUGGCUUAAAAUGUAAGUUUUGAAAACAUGGCUAUAUAAAUAAGAAUAAGUGGAGGCUGCAGCAGUUUUUUGUGGAAAAGAAAAAGAUGAGAGAGAGAAGAGAGAAUAGUGAUGCAAAAUUUGGGGGCUUAGAUUUCAAUUUUUGAUUGGACGAUUAGAAUGGGAAAUUAACUUCUUUUUCUCUCAAAUUUUGAGGGUAAGUUCUUGGCAUUGCCUUCUACAAUCCUACUGGUCUUGGUUUUCAUUUUAUCCUCUUGUCGGCUAUUAUUUAAGAUAUCAACUUGUUAGAGUAGGUCAAGAAUUUGAGAUUCUUGAUGUCGUUAGCCUAUAGUAUUACCUAAAGAAGAAUUUAUGCUGUAAUCUCAUUAACAUAGUGGAAGAUUAUAUUGGACUACUAUCUCAUGGUUUUUUCCGCUUUGGGUUAUGUUGAUUUUACCCUUUGUAAAUAUACAUUCUCCAGCACUCAACAGACAGGAAGAAAACUAAUAUGUGUCAGGGCAGACAAUAGUGGUAUGUACACAAGGCCAUAUGAGUAGUAUUGGAAUCCCAUGAAAUCAAACUUGAGAAGACUAUACUAACAACUCCUCAGUAGAAAUAUGUUACCAAAAGGCUGAACAGAACAAUUGAAUAAAGGAUUAUGUGUAUGCUUUCUAAUGCCAAGUUUUUUAAAUCUUUUUGGGCAGAGGCCAUGCAUACUGUAGUUUAUUUGAUUUAUGUUUCUCCUUCAACUUCAUUAGAUGGUGAUGUAUCUGAGAGAGUUUGAACCAAAAUAUGUUUCUUAUAAAUACUUGAGAGUGUUUCGUUACUGAGCAUAUGUUCACGUCCUCAAAGAUGAGAAAUUAAAACUUGACAAUAAAGCCAAAGAAUGCAUUUUCUUAAGCUAUGGACAUGAAAAUUUUGGGUACAGAUUACGCGAUCCAGUGGCAAAAAAGUUUAUUAGAAGUAGAGAUAUUAUAUUUCUUGAAGAUUAGAUGGUUAAUGAUGAGCAGAAGAGUGAUAAAUCUCAAUUAUCUCCAAAUAUUCAUAGUAUGCCAACAUCACUUUCUUUACCUAUACUUCAUGAUGAUCACGAAGGAGCUAGAGAAGCUAAUAAUGAUGGUUCAACAAAACCAGUUGAACAAGUACAUUCAAAACCAUCUACACCACCAGUUGAGCUGGAAUUGAGGAGAUCCACUAAAGAACGACGAACUUCUACUAGAUAUUCUCUAUAUGAGUAUGUGAUGCUUACAGAUGGAGGGGAGUGUUGUGCAAAUUUUAAUGUACUCGCAAGCGCACGAAUCUAUUGUAGUAUAGAUCAAUGGUGACGAGUGUCGAUCCCACGAGGAGGUGGAUUUUAAUUGUGUGUAGAAUUAAUUUUGUAAAUGGGUGAUUGGAUUUGUGGUGGAAAUGAAUUGGAAUAUGCUAAAACUUAAAUUAAAAUGGCGAGAAUAAAUUCGAAAAUUAGAAUUGAAAUGGCAAGAAUAAAUUGAAGAGAAUUCUAUUGAAAUGAUGUACUUGGGUAUCUGGAUCCGUAUCAACAUGCAUCAUGGGCUAAAUAAUCCUUAUUAAUGCCAGUUAAAUCAUGAGGGGGGAAUCCACACCUCAUGAACCACGCUCUAAUCAAUAUAGUGCUAAGGGCUUAUCGUGCCAAAUAAUAAUAACCUUGUACUAGAGGGCCGGUGAAACCAAGGCGGUACUAGACAAGAUUAGUAUUAUUUGUCAACGAGAAGUCAAACAUCCACAAAAAUUAGAGGGGAAGAGAAAGUAAAUUUACCAAAUCAAGCCCAUGACACAUGUUGAGACUUCACCUUCAACCCAAGCUUAAAAAAAAAUUAGCCACUCAUAAUUGAACUAGGGGUAAAAUGGAAAUUUAUUAAAAUACGUAGAAAAUACAAGAUGGAGAAGGAAUUACAGAGAAUGGAUCCCAAAAAUGGAUUCAGAGAUAUCCAAUUAAGGGGGGAAGCCCCCUUUUUAUAGAUACAUUGAGUAAAUCAUGGUCAUCGGAUUAAAAACAGUUUGGACGCUCAAGAUUGUGCUACGUCAUCAGUCAACAGUACGCGGUUUGACCAUGUGGAUCAACAAUAACACGGUUUGACCCGGGUGAACAGUGACGCAGUUUGGUUGAAAAUAAUCCUGUGUGAUGCAUGUACCGUAUGCGAGAUUUUUCGUCCACUGAUAUGUUGCCACGUCACCAUCAACAGUACAUAAGAAUUUUAGCCCAACAGGAUCGUGACACUUCAUCAGUCAAUGCCACAUCAUCGGUCAAUGCCACGUCAUCGGUCAAUGCCACAUCAUCGAUCCGUCUAUGUGAACAGUGUCAUGAACAGUAACGUAGACAGUACCGUAUACGUGAAUAGUACCGUACAUGUGAAUAGUGCCAUUUUUCCUUUUAUACUCCUCCUAAGGUUUUCGACCGUCCUGAGUUCAAAAGUGAUGUCCGUUUUGCCGUCUGAUCUCUCGUUUAUUGUAAAAUGAUCAUGAUGCCCCUAAAAUAGAUAAAAUACUUAAUUAAAAUCAAACACACAUAAUUAAAUUGCAAGAAGCUUAAAUACAUAAAAGUAAGGGUUGUUAGUAAAACUUGAAAUGUAAAAUGAUGAUUUUCUCCUUUAUAAAUAUACAUUUUCUAACACUCAACACGCCCACCAACCAGCUUAUUGCUAAUCCCUAGCAAAUAAAGCGAAAACGAAAUUCAAAUCCAAAAUGAUUUUUUUUUUAAAUAAAAACACUCGUGUUUAUUCAAUCAGAUUAAUGAUAGCAAUCAAAUAAAAGUAUAAGCAUUAUCUCCAGUCUAAAGAAACAUCACACCCACAUCAACCAUCCACAUGAAUCAGCCCAGUAGACUUUGUUAUAGCUACUUUCAAGAAUGACAUGUCAAACCCCAAAAUCUCACUGGAAGUAGUGACACUCUCACAAAGAAAUUAAACCCAAUAAAAAUAGUCACUCCAAUGAAUGGUAAUUGAGAGAAAAUAAAAAAGAAGUGAUAUCACAUGCUCUCACCAAGAUGAAAGAAAUAUGCCCUCAGCUUAGAAAUAAUACGAUCUCAAGUCACACAAAAAUGCUAGUCAACCCAUUUUAUUUAUCUCUUUUUCUUUUAUUAUUAUGCACCACUACAUCUUUUUAGCCCAUAUAACUAACUUCUACUUCAGACUAUAGUUCCCUAAAAUCAAGAAGGACUUUUAUUAGGACGUAACGUAGGUUAGGGAUAUGGCUAAUAAAGAAGGGAAAUAAGGAAAACAAAAUGUAUGUUUAAGAAAAAUGCAGAGAAUUUUUUUUUUUUUUUUUGCAAGGUGAAUUUCACUUAUUAUUGUUAUUUUUAUUCUUUUGAAACAACAACUUUUGUUUUUGUUUUUGUUUUGUUUUUUUUUAUUUUUUACUUUUAUUUGGCAUAACUUCACUAAACAACAUAAUUAGUUACAUUUUCUCAAACAUAAAUAGGUGAUGGAACUUAUAAGACAUCAGGUAAUACUCCAAAUCGGAGUGGGUCAAGAUGAUAAGUUUAACAAAUAAAAGGUUUUUUUUUUUUUAAAGGCUCAAAAUGGUUAACUAUGGAUAUUUGAUAAAAGGGAUGGCUAGAAAGGCUCAAACGGAUCAAAGAUGGCAUUUCCAUCGUCUUUUAGGGCUCUAAAUAACCUUCCAUAUCUACUAGUUAGAUGGACCUCCAAAUGUAGCAACACACAUUUUUUUUUCUUUUUCUUUUUAGUUUUACCAUUUUUUUUAAAGGGUUAACUCAAAAGAAAUCUAGAGAUCGUGUAUAAAAUAAUAAACUGCUAAGCUGUAUAGAGAAUGGGCAAAAUGGUUACUCUCCAAGAAAAUGAUAGGCUAAACAACUCACUUGGCACUUAUUUAUGACAUGUUCAUUCCUUCAAGCAACUUAUAUUUGUCUCCGACAUCAACAUGUAAAGUAGCAAACAUAGCGUAACAUCACUUAAGACCAAAGAUAAUACAAAUACUAAAAUUUAAAAUUAAUCAUGUCAUCCAAUGUUAAAACAAAUAACACAAUUUUUUUUUAAACAACAUUCUACCCCCCAACCUAUUCUAAACAUGAAAGGAAAAUAUGCAUGCAGAAAUAUGAAAAUGAUGUAGAAAAAUUAAUUAGAAAAAGAAAUUUUUUUUUUUUAACUAAGAAGAUGCAUUUCUAGAGGCACUGCACUCCAUAUUUAGCCAUCUUCGACUCAAAAAUUUGAAAAUAUAUAUUUAUAAAGGAGAAAGAGGAAGAAAACGGUUUUUUUUUUUUUUUUUAAACGAUGAAGAUGCGUUUCUAGAGUAACUACACUCCAUAUUCAGCCAUCUUCAACACAAAACGUUAGCAACAGUUAGUUUCUACAACAAAAAAUCAGUAAAAACUUAACCAAGAUUCCACAAUUGUCGACUAGUCCCUCCCCCCAACCAGAACGAAACAUUGUCCUCAAUGUUUUAAAGGAAAGAAGUAGAGUUUAGAAGAUAUCACCUGGGUGGUGCAACACAGAAGAAAAUAUUUACAGGCGGAGAGUUAAAUCUAAUUUGUACUUCUUACUGCGGCUACUGUUACCAUCAUUAUUUGGUCGCUCUAACACAAAGGUCCAGGGGUCUGGCUCCGGUUUAUAAGCUUGUAACAUAUCAAGUAGCUCAUUAGCAGUGUGAGCACAAAUAAAUAGUUUUUUCACAUUAGAAUGAAUGAAAUAGUUUUUUAUUGCAUGGUUAAGAAAUGCGAUAAAGCCAUCAUAAAAGUUACUGACAUUUAACAAACCGAUGGGUUUCUGGUGGAUGUGCAGAUGGGCCCAAGAUGCUAGUGUGAUAAGUGCCUCUAGUGUUGCAAGAUCUCCUGGAAGGAAAAUAAAAGCAUCAGCAUGAUUAAGCAUUUCAGUUAUUCUUUCUUGCAUACCUGAGACGACUAACUCUUCUCCAGUUGAUGAGUCAGACGAACUGCCCAAUGGUUUUAGGACUCUUGGGAUGAUGCCUAACACUUGACUUCCUCUGAUAAAAGCUGCUUUUGAGACCAUUUUUGAUAACCCUCGGUUACCUCCUCCAUACACCAAGUGUAAUUUUCUCGCUGCUAUGCUUCGACCAAGAUCUAUGGCUGCCUCAACGAACUCUUUAUGUUUGCCAUAGGUAAAUCCAGAAAGCACACAAAUGUUCUUGAAUUGUCUAUUGGGAGUAGCUGCCAUUGGGAUACUUCUUAAAAAUAAUUUUUGAGUGUUUGACAAAAGAAAUCACAUUUAAGAGUCUUGGUGACAGUGGGUCACAGCUGUGUAUGAGGUAGCAUGUCAGUGUCAAAUAACGCGUAAAGCACAUGGCUCGCGAGUCAAAAAGGAAACAGUAAAAAGCAAAAAGCAAACAGUAAUAAAAUUAUUAAAGACAAUAAUGCAAACAAUAAAACAACGGUGAAAUAAAAUAACAGUAAAGUAAAAGGAUAUUUACAGGUAGUUGCGACUGUAGCUCACAUCAUCCUCUGGUUUUACGUCCAGAAACGGCUUGAACGCCCUCUAUGGGUCGAGGAUAGGCUUCCCAUCCAGUUUUCUUAUAAACUGGCAAACAGGGUCGUUUAUAGUCAGAUUCCCGAGACUAUAUCGUGCAUGCUCUUUCUGGAAUAAUGGCCAUAACUGGAGAAUCGCUCCUUGCACAUAUCCACUGGGAUGCGUUUCAAGAGACAGAAAGAUAUCAUCCAAUGACUCCUUAUUCAAGCCAUCCCUAAUGAAUUGAAUCUUAUCUUCUCUGUUAUCAGACAUCAUUCCUAAAGAACAUGGGUUUCUAUCGCAACUCAUUCUGGCACACUUAUGACAAGCAACAGAAAUUCUUCGAGCUCAUCGUUUUCUUGCAUAAUUUCCUUUACCACAACCAGGCAUGUAUGCAAUAAAUUUAGGAGGUAACUCACCUGCUGAUCGUACUUUAGCCUCGAUUAACUAACGGAUAUCAGCAGGUAUGUUAUUCCUCAUGAGUAAUCGCAUGCGUUCAGACCGAGCUUUAUAGAUCGUAAGGAGGGCAUUCUAAGGAAGUGAAGGGAAUCGCUUGUGAAGCUUUGCUAGAAUCUCGUUUCUAUCUAUACGGUCGCCUCAGAAUAUCAGUUAUUAUGGGAAACUGAAGUAACCGACUUGAUUGUCACGGAGUACCGUUAUCCGCCACUUCACCGGGGUAACAAACUAAAGCACACAAACAGAAAAACAAAUUAAAACACACAAAGAAAAUUAAAAUCGUCCUCUUAUUGAAUUUACCUCAAGCUCCAACUGGAUGUCGUAAACACUUCUCUCAAUAUCUCUGAGUUGGCUUUCUAAACCCUCAACAUAGGCUACUAACUCUGGUGGUUAUAGAGCCCAAAUGCGAUGUGUUUUACAAAAUUAAAUCUGCCUUUUGAGAUGAGUUUUGACACGUUGAAGUGCUUUAAGAAUGUUCAGAAGGAACGGUCUAAGUAAGGUACUCAUGAUUAAAAAUGAUAAGAGAAAAUUUAAUAGUUAAACAAACACACUUAUGCAAAAAAUAAUUUCAAUUAGCAAAAGAAUAAUAUAAGAAAAGAAAAAAAAAUCAAAUCACCGAAAAGAAAAAAAAAUCAAUUCAAAUCUGGUGGGUCACUCAAAUUUAUUUCGGUGUCUUCUCCAUGUGGUUGGUGCUCUAGAUAAUGCUUUAAUCUUUGACCAUUAACUUUAAAUGUGACACCGUUCUUUGGGUCCUUAAUUUCAAUCGCCCCAUGUGGAAAAAUAGUAUGAACAAUAAAUGGACCAGACCAACGAGAGCGUAACUUACCUGGGAAUAGGUGCAAGCAAGAAUUGAACAAAAGCACUUUCUGACCUAGAGUGAAAGAUUUUCUCAUAAUUUGCUUGUCGUGGAAGACUUUCAUCCGUUGCUUGUAAAUCUUGGCAUUUUCGUAUGCAUCAUUGCGAAUUUCUUCAAGUUCUGCCAGCUGUAAUCUUCUUUCUGAGCUGGCUUGCUGCAUGUCAAAAUUGAAUUUCUUGAUAGCCCAAUAUGCACGAUGCUCGAGUUCCACAAGUAGGUGGCAAGCUUUUCCAUACACUAGCCUGUAGGGUGACAUCCCAAUCGGGGUCUUGAAAGCCGUUCUAUAUGCCCAUAAUGCAUCAUCAAGUCUUAAUGACCAAUCUUUCCUGUCUGGCCUCAUCGUCUUUUCUAAUAUGUGCUUUAUUUCUCGAUUGGAUAUCUCAACUUGGCCACUGGUUUGCGGAUGAUACGGAGUCGCCACUUUGUGUGUGAUUGAAUACUUUGUCAAAAGAGCUUUGAAUGCUUUGUUACAAAAGUGAGCACCACCAUCAAUGAUUAUUGCUCGAGGGAAUCCAAAGCGUGAGACAAUGUUGCUUUUCAAAAAUCCUAUCACCACUUUGUGAUCAUUGGUUCUACAUGGAAUUGCUUCUACCCAUUUUGAGACGUAGUCAACACCAACCAAUAUGUAUUGAUGGCCAAAAGAAGGGGGAAAUGGUCCCAUAAAGUCGAUACCCCAUACGUCAAAAAUCUCAACCACUAAAAUUGGAUUUAGUGGCAUCAUGUUCCUUCGUGUAAUGCUCCCCAUUCGUUGACACCUAUCACAUGAAGAACAGAAAGUGUAAGCAUCUCGAAAUAUAGUUGGCCAAUAGAAACCACAUUGUAAAACUUUAGUCGCUGUAUUGUUAGCGCUAAAAUGGCCUCCACAAGCUUGUUCAUGGCAAAAUGAAAGAAUAUUAUGAAUUUCAUUUUCUCGGACACAUCGUCUAACAAUUUGAUAUGCACAAUACUUGAACAAAUAUGGGUCAUCCCAAAAGAAAUUCUUUAUUUCCGCAAAGAAUUUAGCCUUGUCUUACUUGGUCCAAUGCUCUGGAAGUUUACCUGUAACAAGAUAAUUAACUAUAUCAGCAUACCAAGGUAAUACUUCCACACUCAUUAAUUGUUCAUCUGGAAAUGACUCAUUCAAUAUUAAUGGCUCUGUAAUUGUGUCAAAAUAGAGACAAGAGAGAUGGUCAGCCACAACAUUCUAUGUGCCUUUCUUAUCCUUGAAUUCCAAGUCAAAUUCCUGCAAAAGUAACACCCAACGAAUUAGUCUAGCUUUUGCAUAUUUCUUUGUGAGAAGAUAUUUAAGAGCAGCAUGAUCUGUGAAUAUAAUUAUUUUACAACCAAUGAGAUAAGAUCAAAAUUUUUCCAAUGCAAACACUACUGCUAACAUUUCUUUUUCAGUAGUUGAAUAGUUCAACUGUGCAUCAUUCAAUGUCAUACUAGCAUAGUAAAUAACAUGAGGAAUUCGAUCAACUCUUUGUCCUAAUACUGCUCCUACUGCAUAAUCAGAUGCAUCACACAUGAGCUCAAAUGGUAAGCUCCAGUUUGGGGCUUGAAUGAUGGGUGAUGAUGUCAACAAUUGCUUUAAUUUUUCAAAAGCCAUAAGACAUGAAUCAUUAAAGAUAAAAAGUACAUCCUUAGCAAGUAAAUUGCAUAAGGGUCUAGAAACUUUGCUAAAAUCUUUAAUGAAACGUCUAUAGAAACCAGCAUGCCCAAGGAAAGAUCUUACUUCUCUGACUGUUUUAGGUGGAGGAAGAUUAGAAAUGAGAUCCACCUUGGCUUUGUCAACCUCAAUACCUUUGCUCGAAAUGAUAUGACCGAGAACAAUACCUUGUUUUACCAUAAAAUGGCACUUCUCCCAAUUCAAGACUAAGUUCUUCUCGGUACAUCUCUGCAGAACUAGCGUUAGAUGAUGUAAACAUUGAUCAAACGAAUCACCAAAGACAGAAAAGCCAUCCAUAAAGACUUCAAGGAAUCGUUCAACCAUAUCAGAAAAAAUGCUUAACAUGCAUCGUUGAAACGUAGCAGGUGCAUUACAUAAUCCAAAUGUCAUUCUCUUAUAUGCAAAAGUGCCAAAAGGGCAAGUGAAAGUAGUUUUCUCUUGAUCUUUUGGUGCUAUGGGAAUCUAAGUAGCCAUCUAUAAAGCAAUAAAAUUCAUGGCCUGCUAAUCUAUCAAGCAUUUGAUCGAUAAAUAGUAAAGGAAAAUGGUCUUUACGUGUGACAGAAUUCAACUUUCUAUAAUCAAUACAUACACGCCAUCUUGUAGUUACUUUAGUUGGUAUCAAUUCAUUAUCAGCAUUCGUAACUACUGUGACUCCUGACUUUUUGGGGACAACUUGUACAGGACUGACCCAUGAACUAUCAGAAAUUGGGUAAAUGAUACAUGCGUCUAAUAGCUUAAGGACUUCAGUUCUAACAACUUCUUUCAUAUUAAGAUUUAACCGACGUUGCAUUUCCCUAGUAGAUUUAACAUUUUCAUCAAGGUGAAUGUAAUGCAUGCAGUCUACUGGGUUUAUACCUUUUAUGUCUGCUAUGGUCCAUCCUAAUGCUUCUUUGUGCUCUUUUAAAACAUCCAACAACUUACCUUUUUGUUCGUCAUUGAGGGAUGAUGAGAUGAUUAUCGGCAGAGUGCUUUCUUCUCCCAAAAAUGCAUAUUCCAAAGUGUUGGGCAAUUGUUUGAGCUCAAGUUUCGGUGGUGAUUCUGAUGAUGGGAUGAAUUUCUUUUCUGAUGGUGCUAGUUGUUCUACUCUUGACUUCCAUUUAUUAGUGUCCAUAGAUGGUGAUGAGUCAAGUAGGGCGUUGACCUCAUCGACCGAUCUGUCAACAUCAAAAUCAAAACCAAAGUGAGUUAAACAUGUUUGUAAAGGAUCAUCACUAAGGUUUGAAACAAAAGUGUCAUCAACUAAUGCUUCAAUUAAAUCCACAUCUACAAUUCCGUCAUCUGCAUUGUGAGGUUGCCUGGCAAUGUUGAAGAUGUUCAGCUCCAUAGUCAUGUUGCCGAAGGACAACUGCAUAUUUCCAAUCCUGCAUUGAAUGUGAGCAUCCGCAGUUGCCAAGAAAGGUCGGCCUAGAAUAAUGGAGAUGUGCUUCCUUGAAUCCUGUAUUGGUUGAGUGUCAAUUACAAUGAAAUCAACAGGAAAAUAAAACUUGUCUACCUGGAUAAGCACGUCCUCCACAAUACCACGAGGUAUUUUCGUGGACCGAUCUGCAAGCUGUAACACCACUGGAGUUGGGUGUAAUUUUCCCAGUCCAAGUUUCACGAAUACAGAGUAAGGCAAAAGAUUUACACUUAUUCCUAAAUCCAACAAAGCAUUCUCAAUUGUGUGGUUCCCUAUACUACAUGAGAUAGUGGGGGAGCCUAGGUCUUUGCAUUUUAAAGAAAUUUUAUGUUGGAGUAUAGAACUAACGUUUUCUGUUAAAAAUGCCUUCUUUUGAACAUGCAUAUUUCUCUUUUUAGUACAAAGGUCUUUAAGAAACUUGGCAUAAGAUGGAACUUGUUUAAUUACAUCAAGUAAAAGGAUGUUAACACUUACCUGUUUGAAGAUUUCAAGAAUCUCAUCUGUGGAUUUUUCCUUUUUUCCUUUAGCUAACCUUUGAGGAAAUGGAGCUUUCGGAACAUAUUCUCGUGGGUUGGUUUCUUCUCUCUCCUCCUGUGGUGAGUCCUCAGCAUUUACAGGUACAAUUUGAUUUUCUUUUGUCACUGGCAUCUCCACUUUGUUGUCGACUUCUUUUCCUUUUCGCAAGGUCAUGACGGCUUUGAUUUCUCCAUGCUGCUGUGGUGAACUGGUACUUGCUUCAUGCACUCCUUUAGGAUUAGGUACUGGUUGACUUGGAAACUUGCCUUUCUCAACGGUCAUUGCCAAGGUCUGAACUGAAGAAGCAAGUUGUCCCACCAUCUUCUCGGGGCUUGAAAUUGAUUGGGCUUGUGAGUUAAAGCCUGCUCUCAAUUCAUUUCGUAGUCCAUCAAUGGUGCGGUUCUGUUGCUCAAUCGUGGAGUGAGUAACAUUCCUGAAAUUCUGGAAUGCAUCCUCCCAUGGUCUAGGUUGAGAGUGGUUCUGGUUCUGAUUGUAUGGUCUAAAUGGUGGCUGAGAGGCUUGAGGAUUUUAAGGAAUUGGUUGCAUUGGUGGAGCUGGAGCUGUUGGUCCAUUCUGUUGGAAUCCUUGAGACCAUGAAAAAUUGGGAUGGUCUCUCCAUCCCGGGUUAUAUGUGUUGGAGUAUGGGUUGUAAUUUGAUGGUUUUCUCAUUACACCUAUGGCAUUGGCUUGAUCUGAGUAUGAGUCAUGGUCAUGUGGCUCUGUUGAUUUAGCAGUUGAUAACGAUUCUAUUUGUCGAGAGAGACCUUCAAUUAUCUCCUUGACUUCUUUGAUUUCUGAACUUGACUCGCCAAUGUGAACCUCAUUUACUCCUUUAAUUCUUCUAGUAUUCCUGAGUGAUCGACUCCGUUGUUGGGAAUUAUCCGCUUGUGGCUGGAAGAAUUCCCAAAUCUCUGUUGCGCUUUUUGACAUUAGCUCUCCUCCACUUGUUGCCAUUAGACAUUCUUGCACAUUUGGCAAUAAUCUCUCCAAAAAGUAUUGGCAUUGGUGUCAUUUCUCGUACCCAUGAUGUGGACACUUCAAGAGUAGCCCAUUAAAUCGCUCCCAUGUUUCGAAAAACUGCUUAUCCUCUCUCUGGGUAAACUCUGAGAUUUCCCUGCGAAUAGCAUUAGUUUUAUGCACUGGGAAAUAUUUAUUCAAAAAUUUUGUAACCAUUUGUUCCCAUGAUGCAAUUCUAUUAGCAGGCAAUGUAUUAAGCCAUGAACGAGCUCUAUCCUUUAAAGAAAAUGAGAAUAAUCUAAGUUUUACAUCAUCAUCUGAAAAAUUCUCAUAUUUAAAUGUUUGACAAAUAGCAUGAAAAUCAUUCAAAUGAUUAUAUGGGUCCUCAUUUUCUAAGCCAUAGAAUGUGGGGAGACAAUUUAGCACACUAGGUUUUAGUUCAAAGCUUCUAGCAGCUACAUUUGGGUAUCUUAUACAUGAUGUGCUCAAAUUAGCUAAGGGACUAAAAUAGUCCUUAAAUGGCCUCUCUUGUUGUGCUUGUAAAUCCAUUCCAAAUUUAUUUUUAAUGUGCUUAUGUGUGCGAAGUAUUUUUUCUAGUUCAAGAUCUAUAGGUUCAAGAUUAGGUAAUAAUGACCUACGACCAUGCAUGCAAAAUAAAAUAAAAAUAAAAAUAAAGAUGGGAACAAAACAAAUAAAAAUAAAUAAGAGGGAGAAAUUACGAUACUAACCUUAUUGCGCUAUUACAACCUUACUAUAAAAAUACAAAAAAAUAAAUACCUGAAAUAAAUUAACUAAAAAUUAAAUUAAUAAGAUAAACAAAAAUUACAAAGAAAAAUAAAUUAAAAAUUAAAUUACAGAAUUUUAAAGAAGAGAAAAAGAAAAGAAAUACUAACCUUUAAAUGCGGAUUCAAUUUUUUUAUUUAUAAAAAAAUACAAGAAAACAAAUAAAAGAAAUUAUUCACAAAAAUUAAUUCUAUGAAUUAAAAUUACUUACCUCCCCGGCAACGGCGCCAAAAACUUGUUGUGCAAAUUUUAAUGUACUCGCAAGCGCACAAAUCUAUUGUAGUAUAGAUCAAUGGUGACGAGUGUCGAUCCCACGAGGAGGUGGAUUUUAAUUGUGUGUAGAAUUAAUUUUGUAAAUGGGUGAUUGGAUUUGUGGUGGAAAUGAAUUGGAAUAUGCUAAAACUUAAAUUAAAAUGGCGAGAAUAAAUUCGAAAAUUAGAAUUGAAAUGGUAAGAAUAAAUUGAAGAGAAUUCUAUUGAAAUGACGUACUUGGGUAUCUGGAUCCGUAUCAACAUGCAUCAUGGGCUAAAUAAUCCUUAUUAAUGCCAGUUAAAUCAUGAGGGGGGAAUCCACACCUCAUGAACCACGCUCUAAUCAAUAUGGUGCUAAGGGCUUAUCGUGCCAAAUAAUAAUAACCUUGUACUAGAGGGCCGGUGAAACCAAGGCGGUACUAGACAAGAUUAGUAUUAUUUGUCGACGAGAAGUCAAACAUCCACAAAAAUUAGAGGGGAAGAGAAAGUAAAUUUACCAAAUCAAGCCCAUGACACAUGUUGAGACUUCACCUUCAACCCAAGCUUGAAAGAAAAUUAGCCACUCAUAAUUGAACUAGGGGUAAAAUGGGAAUUUAUUAAAAUACGUAGAAAAUACAAGAUGGAGAAGGAAUUACAGAGAAUGGAUCCCAAAAAUGGAUUCAGAGAUAUCCAAUUAGGGGGGGGAAGCCCCCUUUUUAUAGAUACAUUGAGUAAAUCAUGGCCAUCGGAUUAAAAACAGUUUGGACGCUCAAGAUUGCGCCACGUCAUCAGUCAACAGUACGCGGUUUGACCACGUGGAUGAACAGUAAUACGGUUUGACCCGGGUGAACAGUGACGCGGUUUGGUUGAAAAUAAUCCUGUGUGAUACAUGUACUGUACACGAGAUUUUUCGUCCACUGAUAUGUUGCCACGUCACCAUCAACAGUACAUAAGAAUUUUAGCCCAACAAGAUCGUGACACCUCAUCAGUCAAUGCCACAUCAUCGGUCAAUGCCACGUCAUCGAUCCGUCUAUGUGAACAGUGUCAUGAACAGUACCGUAUACGUGAAUAGUACCGUACAUGUGAAUAGUACUAUUUUUCCUUUUAUGCUCCUCCUAAGGUUUUCGACCGUCCUGAGUUCAAAAGUGAUGUCCGCUUUGCCGUCUGAUCUCUCGUUUAUUGUGAAAUGACCAUGAUGCCCCUAAAAUAGAUAAAAUACUUAAUUAAAAUCAAACACACAUAAUUAAAUUGCAAGAAGCUUAAAUACAUAAAAGUAAGGGUUGUUAGUAAAACUUGAAAUGUAAAAUGAUGAUUUUCUCCUUUCUAAAUAUACAUUUUCUAACACUCAACAGGGAGCUAAAAUGCUUUGAAGAAGUUAUGUCCCAUCAGUUAAAAGUGAGUGGGUUAAAGUUAUGCAAAAAGAGAUGAAAUCCUUGAAUUAGAACCAUAUUUAUGACUUAACAAAUCUUCUUAAAAAAAAAGCACUAAAGAACAAAUGAGUUUAGAGAUUGAAGACUGAAAAUAACUCACAACAGCAGUACAAGGCUAAAUUGGUUGUGAAGGGUUUCGGUAAGAAGAAAUGUGUCAAUUUUGAAGAAAUAUUCUCUCCUGUGGUGAAGAUAUUUUCUAAGUUAUUCUGGGAUUAGUAGCUAGCUUGAAUUUGGAGAUUAAACAGCUCGAUGUAAAGACAGCUUUCUUGCACAAAGCCUCAAAAGAGGAAAUAUACAUGGAGCAACCUAAAGUAUUCAUUGUCAAAAGUAAAGAAAAACUUGUGUACAAGUUAAAGAAAAGUUAUAUACGCUGAAACAAGCACUAAGACAAUGGUACAAGAAGUUUGAUUCUUUUAUGGAGAAUCAUAGUUCAUCAAGACUAUGUCUGAUUAUUGUGUUUUUGUGAAGAAGUUUAGUUAUAAUGAUUUUAUUAUUUUUUUGCUCUAUGUGGAUGACAUGUUCAUUCUUGGCUAGGAUGUUAGUAAAAAUGAUAAUUUAAAAAACAGUUUAGUAAGUUUUUUAUAAUGAAGGACUUAGGAUCGGCAAAACAGAUUCUUGGCAUGAAUAUUUCCUGUGAUAGAAAAUCUAGGAAGUUAUGGUUAUCUCAAGAAGCACGUGUUGAAAGAGUUCUUGAAAGAUUUAACAUAGGUAAGGUAAACUAUAUUCAUUCUCCACUCGUAAACCAUUUCAAGCGUAGUUCUGAACAUUGUCCUAUAAGUGAGAAAAUGAAGCAAGAGAUGAGAGGAGUUUCUUAUGAUUCAGCAGUUAGUAGUUUGAUAUAUGUCAUGGUUUGCAUAAGGGUAGAUAUGGCUCAUACAGUUGGUGCAGUUAGUCAGUUUCUUUAUAAUUAUGGCAAAGAACACUAUAUAGCAGUGACGUGGAUUUUCAGAUAAUUUAGAAGCACUUCCAAGGCAUGUUUACAUUUUGGUGGUGACAAAUUUAUAUUACAAGUGUACACAGAUACAAAUAUAGUAGGAAAUAUUGAUUCUAGAAAAUCUCUAUCAUGAUAUCUGCUUACCUUUGUAGGGGAAGCAGUUUCAUGGUAGUCCAAGCUUCAACAAUGUGUUCUUUUGCCUACCACUGAAGAAGAGUAUAUUAUAAUCACUGGAGAUUGCAAACAAAUCUCGUGGAUGAAAAAUUUCCUAAAAGAGCUCGGUGUGAAACAAAAUAGCUAUAUUAUGUACUGCGAUAGUUAGAGUGUCAUUCAAUUGGCAAAGAAUUCAACAUACCAUUUCAAAUCCAAGCAUAUUGAUGUGAGGUAUCAUUGGAUAUGAGACACGCUUUAAAAGAAACAAUUACAGCUUGAGAAUAUUCAAACAAUAGAGAAUGGGUUAGAUAUGAUGACAAAGUCAUUACCCAAAGAGAAGUUGAAAAGCUAUAAAAAGAAAGCGGGUUUAGUGGUGUCCCCUCCAUAAUCUGGAGGAGGAGAUUUGUUAGAUCCAUCUCAUUUAAGUGGCUUAAAAGGCUAAAGUCCAAAGGUUUGCUUGACGCACAAUUAAUAUUAAGUUUUGGACUUGGAUGAAAUUAGCCAAAGAAUGAUAUACAAAAAAGAAAAAGAGAAGCAAGCAGCGGCAAUGAUAGAAAGAAGAUGAAAAAGACGAGAAAGAAAGACAGUGGCGCAAUAGUUGUUUUUAGGGGUAAGGGUUUUAAUCUUUGAUUCGACAAUCGGAAGACGAUUUUAACUCUAUUUUCUCUCAAAUUUAGAGGAUAAAUACAUGGCAUCGCCCUAUACAAUUCUACUGGUCUUGAUUUUUGUUUUAUUAUCUCAUUGUCUGUUAUUUAAGAUACCUACUAGUUAGAGAGAUAGAUAUUAGGUUGUUAUUGUAAGCCAAAAUUAUUAAAAUUUUUACUGUUGUUGGCCUCUAGUGUUACCUAGAGAAGAAUUUAUACUGUAAUCUUAUUAUUAAUAUAGUGGAAGGUUAUAUCGGACUACGAUCCUGUACUUUUUUCUAAUUUGAAUUUUCUACGUAAAAAAAUGUCUCUCUUGUAGUUAGUUUGUUGCUUUGGAUUAUGUUGGUUUAUUUUCUACUUAUUUAUAUAUGGUACACAUCCCAUUUUAAUCACGCAAAGAGGGAAAGAGUUUGUUUCUUCUUAAUUUGCAGCAACUUGUGUGGGUUGCUUUCCUAACAAUAAGAAAUAUAAUAAGCAUAAGAAACGAUAUAGUCAACAUUAGUAGAAAAUUCUAUAAAAUAAAAAUAAAAAUAAAAAUUUCCAAAGUAAAAAAACAAUACACAAAAAGUUAGAAAAGCCUUUAAAAAAAAUAAAAGAAUCUAUAAACGAAAUAAGACUUGUAAAUAUUUUUUUUAAUAUGGUAAAGAAAGACACAUUAAACUACAUUGUCCUAAAAAUAAAAAGGUCAAUCAAUUAAAAAUAGAUAGAUAUAAUAUAAAAAGAACAAGUUUUAGAUAUAGAAGAAAAAUUUAAUAUAGAUGAAAUAUCAGAUAACGAUAAUAUAUGUAUUCUCAGUGACCAAAGUAGUGAAUCAGAAACUAAUAGUAACUCAGAAGUAUAAUUAGAUUUAGAAAUCAAUGUCUUAAAAACUUAUACAUCAUUUUUUGGUAAAAGUUGUACAGCUUGUAAUAGAAAUUUUGAAUUAGGAUAUACAGACACAAAUACAGAUAAAUUCUUUUGUAAUAGUUGUAAAGAUAAACAAUAAAAUGAUAAAAUAGUAAAUAAAUAGAGCAAUAAGUGAAUUAAUAAAUAUAGCUAUUGUUGUGAUAAUUUUAAUGUACUCGCAAGCGCACGAAUCUAGAGAUAGAAUAGUGGUAACGAGGUCGAUCCCACAGGGAUUGUUAUAAAUUAAAAAGUCUAAUUUAAAUAUAAAAUUAAUAUUAAUUCUAACCUAGUUGAGCAAAUUGAGUUUUUAAGAAAAUUAAACCAAUUAAACUAAGGAAGCAAUUAAAAUAAAGGAGAAUUCAAUAAGAUAAGAAUUACCAAGGUUUCAGAAUCCACCACUAUUCAACUAGUAAUUAUCUAAUUAUUAAUUAAUCCCCAAUUUUAGAGUGACAACUCGAAAUCAAUCUAUGUCAUCUCAUGGAUAUAACAAUUAAGCCCAAGUAAUUAAAUCUAAUGUAGGUUCUUUUUCUGCUUAAUAAUAUGACAUCUAAGCAUCCCAUGUAAACAUAUUGAAUAACAAAGAGUCAAAGUUUCCUAAGCACUCUAUGUAAACAAUUUAAUGAAAAACAUAAAAUCAAAGAUAAUCAUGUAUAAACUUUAAAGAUCCAAGCAUAGAUUUAAUCGAAUAUUAAUCCUAACAAUCAAUAAUGCAUGACAGAAUUGAUGAAAAGAUUUUAAUAACAUCCAAUUAAUCAUGUGAAAUAAAAACCAUAAUUAUUAAAGAACAUAUAUAGGGAAUUAAUUAAAUAAAAAGAUAAUUAUUUCAUUGAAUAGAGUUUCAUCAUUAACCUCAGUAUAAGAAAAUUAGCUAGACAUACUUGAAUUGGGAGCAACAAAAGAAAUAAAAUCAGCCAUGGGAAGCCGAAAUAUUGCUGCUGCAACUGCUCUCUUCCAGCCUUUUUCUCCUCCUCUGGCGAUUACCCCCCCAAAAGCCAAAAGCUUAGCUUUCUUAUAUAGCCUUUAAAAUGGGCCCCACCUUGUCAAUCCUAAAGCAAAAGGGUUUGGUCUUUUAUUUGUUUUGCUUCACUCACGUGGCCACCAAUUAAGCUUGCACUAGGAUUCCUUUUUCCAAUUGUAAAAGCUAAGUGUGGGCCCCUUUAAGUUGCUUUCCAUGCAUUACAAGUCUAGGUCACUUGAUUAAUUGAAAUUCUUUUUUAGUGCAAAUUACUCUUGGCUUCAUAUGCUAUAAACUCUUAAUUGUGUCACGGCUUUGAUUGAUGCUUUCCCAAACUUGUUAUUCUUUAUGCGCUUUUUGUUUCCCAAUCUCCAAUUAAUUUCCUAUGCAAUAAAAUAAUUCAAUUAAUUAAAAAUAAUAAAUAAAAUUAACUAGCAAUUAUAAUAUAAAGGGUAAAAUAUGUAUAUAAAUUAUGCUCAUCAGCUAUAGAAUUAUUAUUUUAAAAAGAAACAGUUUACACUAAAGCAAUAAUUGACACUGGAGCAAAUAAAUGUAUUAUACAUAAUAGCUUAGUCCCUAAAGAAAAUAGGAAUAAAUUGAGAAGUUUAAUAAAUAUUAGACAAUUUAAUGGAGAAUUAAUGCAAAUAAUAGAAUGUAUAAAUAAUAUACCUAUUAGAAUAACUAGAGAAACACAUAUGUUACCCCAAACAUUUAUUUCUAGCCAGAAAGCAAGACAUAAAUUUGUUUUAGGAUUAAAUUUUUAUAUUAAGAAAUAAUGGUAAUAUACUUAUAACUCCAAAUAGAGUAAAUUUUUUUAAAAAGUCUACAUUCAUUCAACUAAAAUCCGAAACACAUGUUUUACCAUAUGAGCAAAAGUCAAUAAUGGUAGAAAAAUAUAUAGACAUGCAAUUUUUUUAUUUUUUAUUAGAAGAAGAAAACAAAAUAGACCGUACUAAAGUAGAAAUUUUAGAUGAUGAAGAGAUAGAUAAGUACUUAGAAAAUGUCAUAAAUAGAGGGAAAAAAAGAUAGAAUGUUUAAAAUGUGAUAGAUGGCCCGAAGAAAUUAGAAAAAAAAAAAGUAAAAGAGUUAGAAAGAUUAGAUAUAAUAGGUGACAAUCCAAUCAAAAAAAUAAUAAAAAAGAGAUAUAUUAAUUAGAAAUAAUCAGCCCAAACAUAAUAAUAAAAACACAAGAUUUACCUUAUAGUUUAGAAAAUAGAAAUGAAUUCAAAAUGCAUAUAAAUGAAUUAUUAUAAUUAAAAGUAAUAAGAAAUAGCACAAACAAACAUAGAAGUCUAGCAUUUAUAGUAAAUAAUCAUAUUGAACAAAAAUGAGGUAAGAGUAGAAUGCUAAUUAACGAUAAAAGAUUGAAGGAUACUACUUUAGACAAUAGUUAUAAAACACUCAAUAAAGACGAAUUAGUAAGUUGUAUACAAAAUGCUAAAUAAUUUUCUAAAUUUGAUUCUAAAAGUGGUUUUUGACAAAUAUGACUUUCGGAAGAAUCUAUUUAAUGGAUAGUUUUUAGUUGUUCAGAAGGAUAUUUCAAAUGGUUAUCAUUACCAUUUUUGCAUUAGUUCAUAUUUUUCAUUAACAAAAAUAUUUUAAUACUGAAGAUAUAAAGUUAAUACAAAAACUUAAAGGAAUAAUUAAAAAUCUUAAGCCAUUAGCAUUAUUAAUAGACAAUUAUUAUAAAAUUAUAGAAAUUGAUGCUAGUAGUUUAAAAUGACUAGGAAUAUUAAUACAAAACCCUAAUAAAGAUAGCCCAAAAGAGAAAGAAGAAAUAGCAAUUUAUAUUGGUGAAAAAAUUACAAAAAUAAAAAGUAGAAAGUCUAGUGUAGAAUAAUAAAUUCUUUAAAUUAAUUUCAUUUGUAUAUACAAAAUGAUACAUUUACAAUAAGACUAAAUUGUAAUAACAUGAUAAAAUUUUAUAAAAAAUACAAAAGAAAAAAAUUUUAUUAGUAAAAGUGAUAUAUUUCUUAAAAAUAAUAACAGGUAGAGGAUAUAAAGCAAAACUCAUACACAUAAUAGGUAAAUAAAAUAUUUUAGCUUAUAUUCUUUCAAGGUUAACUACUAAAUGAUUAUUUUGUAGGAAUGAAGUGAUAUACGAAUUUCGGUCCAAUAACACUUUGAUAGUUCCCUUCAAGAGCAAAUUUGAGUUUUAGAAGUAAAUUUCAGUUAUUUAACAUCAGCAAUGCGUCUUAGACAAUUUAUGGAGUUGUAAUAACCCACAAGAUAAAUUAAAAGUAACCAAUGCACUAAUGCAUUAUUUUAGAUAGAUUAAUGAUCAUGUAGAAAGUAAUUAUUUUGCAUUUUUUGUAUUAAUUAGAAGUAGACAACCAAGCAUUUACAGACAAUGGAGAGAGGUAGUUGAUCUAAUAAUCAAUUAUCCUAUCCAUAUUAUAGUGGAUUUUAUACAUUUUAUGAAGCAAGAGAAUUUGCUAGACAAAAGAUAGUUAAAUAAUCCUUUAGACAGUGCAUCAGCAUUAUCAUCAUCAACCAUAUAGUUUUGUGUGUGAAGUAAUGACACACAAAAUUAGAAAGCUUAAUAAUACUUGAUAUCACUUAAAUAGUGAAGCAAAUGCAUGUAGAGAGAAAACAAUUGCAUUAGAAAGUGCUAAUGUAAAACUAAUUAGAUAGAAUGUUGUAUUACAAAAUAAAAACCAUAAAUAGCCGCUUGAAGAAUUAUUUAAUAUUACCCCAACAUGGCAACUAAUAAAAAUUUAAAAAAUUUCUUUCUUAAUCGAUGAUGGUAUAGACAUUGUAAAAGAAAAAAAUAGUAGGAGUCCUAUACCAAUACCUUGUUUCAGUAACCAACCAAAUAUUUUCUAGCAAAGAUGAAUCUCUUAAUUGAGUUUGGACCAGGAUGGUAAGAAUUAAGAAAUAUUACCCCUCUUAGACAUGAUUUUUCUUCAAUUUCCUUUGAUUAUUCUUUAACUGAAAUGCUAGACAAUGAAGAUUUUUUUUUUAAAGCCCUUGGUUUUUUAAUGAUACGUAUUAUUUAUAUUUUCAACUUAGAAGAUUUAAAUUCUUUCCACCAAUUUUAAACAAAAGUCUAUCUAUCAUAAAACUAGUAGUCUUAAUCAUAAACUUAAUCUCUUUGCCACUUAGACCCCAAAUAAUUAAUAAAAAGAAAACAUGUGUCAUAUUGCCAACGUAUCAUGUCAUUUUUAUAAACGAAUGAACCAAAUAGUUUAGAAAAAGACAUUAUCAUGAUAAGCCCAACUUCUUUGCAAAUGGACAUAUACAGAAGAUAGCUUUCUAUAAAUGGGUUGAGCCUAAUAAUGAUAAAAUCAUAGCCCAAGCACAAAACUAUAGUAUUCUAGCUCAAAGACAUCUUGUUCAUGAAAAUCACCUUAUUCCUUCACUACAGCUAAAAGUUGACGAUCUAGAAAAAUGUGGAGAAUAUCCAAAACCGCUAAUUGAGAUCAAUGACAAGCAAUCAUUAGGAAGUGAAUUUGAAGCUAUAAGUCAUCGGUCUUUGGAUGAAGGCAUAGCAGUAGCUAUUGAUGAAAUGAUAUAUAGAUAAAAGACACCAUUAACCAGCUAGCAGUAGUCAAAAUGUCUUUAUUACUGUCAUGUUUUUACAUAUGUUCUUCUUUUACUCACUACCUGAAAAAAGAAAAACUGUGAAAGCCUCUUUUUCAUUUUAUCAUUUUAUUACCGACCUUGAGUCAUCAUAAAGUAACAGUAGCCGGUCAAUACUUUUACUACUUAAUUUUUAGCCAAUCUUUGGCAAACUACCACCUGUAAAGUGUAAUCUCAAAAUUUUAUCUCUUGUAUGUCAAGGCAUUGAUUGUAAAAUAAUUGUUACAAGUCUUCAAUUGUAUAUAUAGACCUCUUGGAUCAUUGAGAGUGUAGAGUUUUAUAGAGACUUGUAGAUAAUUUAGAGUCAAGAGAGUCUUGUAUUCAAGAAAAGCAAUAAAAUGUUUCUUUAUUCAUAAACACUUAACAAUCUUUUAGACAUCAAUUAGCAAGCUUUUAUCAAGUAAGUAAAUUUAAUUUCUUUAGUUUUAUUUACUUAUUUAUUUUUCGGGGUUAGAAGUAUCGUCUAGUUAACAAAAGUAUAAAUUAUAUUUAAAGUAUUAACAAAAUGCAGACCUUGUUAUUAUUUAAGGGAAAAGAGUAUGUAGAAGGUUUUUGAAAAAUAUUUUUUUUUACAGAAUAUAAAAACUUAAUAAGAGUUUCUACUGAAUUUCUGAAAAUUUCUUUUUAAACACGGUCUGCGUUGCCCUGUUUAGCCCUUGAUGUGUUAAAAAUGCAUUUUUGGCUGUGAGCCUAGGAGCUUUAAAAUAUUUUUUACUAGUAGGUUUUCAGAACUAGUUUUAUUUAACUUUGAAAUGCCAAUUUUUGCCAAGACAACUUCUAAAGUUCUCAUAAACUUUUUAGAAAUUUAUUGUACAUAAGUGGGAAAACGGUCACAUAUAUUCUAUGGUUAACCCAAAUGGGAACUAUAUCAGUCUAUAUUGUCGGCUUCUUAUACCGACAAUAGAUGAUGACAUACACAACCAAUUAGAAAUUUUUAUUUCUAAUUGAUUUACUUUUUUAUUUUCCAGGCAAUGGGGUUUAAUGUGUCAUUUUCUACCACAUAAAAAAUAUUUACAAGUUCUAUUUUGUUUAUAGAUUCUUUUACCUUUUUUAAAGUUUUUUUAACUUUUUGUUUAUUAUCUUUAUGCUUAAGGAAUUUUUCUUUAGAUUUUUCUACUAUUAUAUCUGUAGGUUGCUUAUAUUAAGUAUAACUUUUCUUGUGCUCAUUAUAUUUCUUAUGGCUAAAUCGACUAGGGUAAUUACAUCCUAAAGUAGGUACUUCAUGCAUAUACACAUUUUUCUAAACUGUAAUUUUAUUUGAUGUCCAUCAUUUUCUUCUAUCUUUUUCUUCUUCACAAUACUCUUUAAUCCUACCUCUAACAUAUUCUAUUACUGGUAAUAAUAUAGUACAAUAAUUAAUUCUGUGUCCUUUUAGUUAUAAACCAAUUAAUUAAUUCAAUAUGUAAUCUUUCUCCUAUUUUACCUCAUAGUUUAUCUACAAUUUUUAAUAAUAAAUCUUCGUCAAAUGGUCUUCCUAUAUCACGACAAAAUUUAUAAAAUAAUUUGCAUAUUCAUGAAAAUAUCUUAAAUCACAUAUUUUUAAUUGUUCUAAGUUUCUAAUUGCUUUAAUCUAUUUAAUUAUAUUGUCCUUUUCAUCUACUCCUAGUAUUAAUUUACCCAUUAAAUCUAUAACACUGAUUACUGGAAUGUUUGUAUCAAAAUUGUCUAAUUCUUCAACUUUAUUUUUUUCAUCCUAAAUAUAUUAUUAAAAUUUGUAGAUAAAUUAACAAGAAAAAUAGGAGAAAGAUUACAUACUAAAUUAAUUAAUUGGCUUAAAACUUACAAGACACAGGAAAUUAAUUAUUAUGCUACAUUAAUACCAGUAAUAGAAUAUGUUAGAGGUUGGAUUAGUGAGUACUGUGAAGAAGAAAAACAUAGACUAUGCAGACAAAUAACAAGGGACUUCUCGAUCAGAGGCCUAAAAAAAUGCAGACAAAUACAGCAUACUCUAAUAAACUAAUAAAACUAUCUAUAUUAUUAAUAUGUAAAGAGACUGUGAUACAACACACAAACAGAUUCAUCUAUGAACUUGCUAGAGCUCUCUUAUGGAUGAAUUCUUUCUGUGAGCCAAGUUAAGCCCACACUUGGUUUAAUGCUGCCAACAACUUCCACCUCCCUUAACUGUUCUUUUGCAGUAAUAACCAUUGUGUGUAGGAGCUCCGCAGAUGGAGGUUCCUCCAGAACUCCAGCCAUUACAGGGACUAUUUGUUGAACCCUUGUUCGAUGACUGUUUUGAAUGCUGCCAACAAUUUGUAUUUCCCUUUACCGGCCUUCUGCAGUACGAACCAUUAAGCGUCUGAGCUCCACAAACAGCGCUACAGAAGUCCUCUUCAUUGAAUGUACUUAAUUUUGAACCUGCAUCAUACACAUUGGACUUAUCUUCUUCAGCUGACUUGGAUUUGAUUCCUUUAAUCUUCAUCCCUUUGUGCUCCUCGCACCUCACUCUUCCUUUAACAGGUUGCCUGCUGCAGAAAGUCCCAUCGCCUGAUUCCACCCCACAUAUGGUAUCAGAGUUUGGUUUGGUUGUGAACCUCUUAGAAAAUACUUGAGGUUGUACUCUUCCAGACCUAGACAUUUCAGAAGAGUCAGAAUAAUUGC